rnacentral:lncRNA from 1 species
GACAUUAAGGGAGGGUUGACAAAAUUACCUAGUGCGAUCUGGUUUGUUCAGUUAGUGGCUUAUUCUUUUUCGUCCCACGAUAAUGAGCUGUACUGUUUGAAAAUGCCAGACUUGUCAUGGACCCAAAUAUUUGGAUUACCCACCGUGGCGAGUCUCGUCUCUAAUAUCCGUGAACUUCGGAUGGACGCGUGGUAUAGCAGACGGCCCAACUUUUACCCCGAUGAUAAGCCGGAGAAUUUCACUUUUAAUUGCGAGUCCCUCGAGUGUAGCAAAUCUCAGAGGGAAAAACAAAUAUUGGCCUCCCCAAACAUGUGGUUCCUCCACCAGCUCCCGUCUAGUUUAAGAGACUCAGUAUUUCGAGGAGUGUGGAGUCUGGGUUUCUGUCGUUAUUGGAUGCCGAUAUUCGUUGGUAUAUGUGAUUCGGAGUCGGAGAAACUCCAUCUGCAGGAUUCCACGCUUUCAAGACGGAUUGAACAGUGUUGGCUGAGAAACAGGAAAUUCCCGUCCAGAUACCGUCGGAGGAUUCGUCGACAGCGGCAUCAGCCCACAAAAGCACUUGAGCCGUCGCAUAUGAAGAAUCUGCGAGAGGUAGAUCUGUUCGAAUGCGAGCUACUAGUCGAGAUUCGCGGCCUCGAAGAAUUGGGAUCCCUUUCAUCCCUUGCGGUCGCAUAUUGUAGGUCGAUCGAAAGGAUGCCAGACCUAUCGAAAUCGAGGAAGCUAAGGGAGCUUCGAGUGGGAAAAUGUCCGAAGCUAAGAAGCAUGGAAGGUUUGGACCGCUUGGAAUCUCUAAAGUGUUUGCGGAUUCACGAUUGCAGGUCUUUGGAGAGUCUGGUGGACACCUCGAAUUUGGAUUUAGAAUGUUGCCUGAUUGUCCGUUGCAAGCGGUUGCCCCACCGUGACAAUUAUUGUAAACGUGGCCAAGGUUGCUAUUGUGAGAUGCUUUUCGAGGGGUUGAGGAAAUCUGACCCGAUGGAAGUCCAGCAAGUAUUACAGGGACAUCCGGAUGUUGCGCCAGUAAGGAAUUUAUAACGUGGCUUGGUUGUUGUGCUUGGUGUAGCCAUUUUGUUUGUUUUGUUGUUGUUCUGUUGUUUUGUUCUGAGAAAAAGGCUUUCUCCCGGACAAAUAUUGGUGAUGAAGCUAAGGAAGUGAACGAGGCACGCUCAUAUGAUGCCAAAACGUUGUCCAAUUUUGAUCAGCUUUUGAACAUAGUACUCAGUUCAUCGAUUGCUGUCCAAACAUGAAGCUCUUGGCUUUUUUAAGGAUAGAGUCUUGACAAGGAUGCCUAGCUGAAAAUCUAAAUUGUUGUCACAAGCUGGUAGGGAGAUCAGGUAAAAACAGUGGCUUAUGCUGUGCAAACUUACUCCAUGUCUUAUUUCAAGUUUUGAAAGAAGUGGCAUGAAGAAGUGGAUGCAGUUAUAGCCAAUUUUUGGUUGGGAAAGCUUAACUGAAGCAAAGUUAGAAUGAGGUUUAGGUUUAUCACAGUUUGACAGAACCCUCCUUGCUAAGCUUGCUUGGAGAAUCCAAGCAACCCCUCGGAAUUUUGGGUGCAAAUAUUUGAAGCGCUCUACCCUUUGUAGCUUCAUGGAAGUUAGAAGAGGUGGCAGAGUGUCUUGGGGAUGGAGUAGACUUUUGGAAUGAGAGAUCUAAUUAAGGAAGGCAUGUUAUAACAAAUUGCUAGUGGGAAAUCAGUCAAAGUUGGGGAGGAUAGGUUGGUGAAGGAGAGUUGAGACUUGAUGCUGCAUCCUUCAAUCUGACUCAGGUGAUAAAGGAAUUAAGAAUGGAGUCUCUAAUUGAUGCAGAUACUAAGACUUGGAACUUAAACCCCAUCAAGGACAGCAUGCGGCAGGAGGAGCAGUGACUGGUGUUGAGAAAUCACAUAAGGUCGAGAAGUUCCGAUGACCAAAUGAUUUGGCCCUGGAACAGGAUUGGUUGUUCUUCAGUAAAGUCUCUACCACUUUACCAUGUAGAAAAGAAAGAAACAUCUACUAAAGCCUAGAUCCUCAAGCUCUCAUACUAUUGAUGGUAUAAUUUGGAAGUUAGCACAGGGAGUCGACUCUCCUCAAGAUAAGACACUUCCUCUAGCAACUUUGCUUGAAUGUUGUGCCUGAUGCUGCUACAUGUGCAAAAGAAAAAAAUAUAGUUUCUCCUGGCAAUGGUGCCCUUAAAAGUUUGUGGCAACAAACUUUCAUCCGACUAAUUUAGUCGUUCUUGACCUUUCACAGAGCGAUGUUUCAGAGAAAUGGAUUGGCUGGAAUCAAAUCAUAAUAUAGUACGAAUCUCACUCCUUGCAUACAUGUUUCAUUCCUUGUCGUUUUUUUUUUCCUGCAAAUAAUUUCUUAGUAUAUAUUUUGUUUUGCAAGUGGCAAGUAAACUAGAAGUACUAGAUCUCAACAAUUGUGAAUACUUAAUGAGAACACCUGAUUUAUCUAUGUUGGUGUCCUUGGGGAGAUUGACUCUUGAAGGUUGUCACAACUUAAUUGAAAUUGACCCAUCCAUUGGUAAAUUAAAGCUCCUAACUGCUAUGAACCUAAAGGGAUAUGACUCUUGUCAAGAGUUACCUGAAGAGAUAGGAUAUCUACAAGCUUUGGCAGAGAUUGUCAUGCCUAAUACCCUACAUGAACUUUCGAAGAGAUUUGGUAAUUUGCGGUCAUUGUUGACCUUUGAUGUAUCGCAUAGGCAGAUUAGCAAACUGCCAUACUUGAUUGGAGAGCUAGUGAAACUUAGGCGGUUGAUUUAUCAGGGUGUACAAAGAUAGAGGAACUUCCAGACUCAGGUUUGGAAAUUACAAUCCUUAGUUGAGUUGGAUUUGUAAUUGAUAAUAUUUGUGGACCUUAAAAAGAUUUAAAGAUUGACAAGUUUCCUCUGUUAUGUGCAGUGAACAAGAAGCACCACUCUCCAUUUUUGAGCGAUGAAGAAUGGCGUUUCGAUAAAAUAGCCAAAGAUGGCGGUCUAUGCAAGCACAAGAAUUUGAGUGGAAUCAACACUGUUGUAGAAAAAAGAAUAAGGGAAGCACAAGCAGUUUGCGACUGCAUUUAGUUACCAAAUUACCAGCCAUCUUCACUAGCAGUCAGAUAAGCACCGAGGAUGGUACUCCUCAAAGGAUCGAACUAGUGGAUGGCAAGACCAAUGAGAGGGUUAUGAAUGGCUCUCUAUCUUCCAUAAAGCUCAAAAUUGUCAUCCUUGAUGGCGAUUUCAGGUCAGAUGAGGGAGAGGAUUGGACCGAGAAGGAAUUCAAUUACAAUAUCGUUUGCGAAAGGGAUGGGAGAAGGCCAUUGAUAACCGGGGAGCUAAAUGUGAUCUUGCAAGGGGGAAUUGGUUGCCUCCGUAAUUUAAUCAUCACUGACAGCUUGAGCUGGAUGAGAAGUCGGGAAAUGAGCUCGAGUUGUUCAAAAGGUUUGUGCAGAAAUAAGAAUAAGUGAAGUGAGUGAAACUUUCAUCGUUAAAUAUCAGCGAGGAGAGUGUAAGUUUGCAAUGCCUAUCAUUUUAUGAUAACAAUUAAUUUCCAACCAUCAACUCUGUAUGUGGACCUUAGAAAGACUGACUGACAAGUUUUCUCUGUUAUGUGCAGUGAACAAGAAGCACUAUCCACAAUCACUGAGCGACGAAGUAUGGUGUUUGCAGAAAAUAGCCAAAGACAGCGCUCUGCACAAGUGCAUGACUUCGAGAGGAAUCAACAUUGUUCAAGAUUUCCUCCAGCUGUACAAAGUGGAUGCACCUUUCUAAGAAACAAAGUGACUCUUACUCUUCGAGCACUGCUAAUUUCCCUUUUUUCCAGUUCACGUUAUUCUAAGCAUUGUUCAAUAUCAAAUCGUGCUACUUCUUUUGUGUGCGAUGUUAUAUUAGGUACUUGGAAAUGAAAUCACCAAGCGGACAUGGGAGACAAUUGUCAAACAUGCCAGCCCCUGUGUGAUCAACGAUAACAUGUAUUUCUACCAAGCUUUGAACAAGGCCAGUAUAGUGUUCAAUUCGGUCAUGAAAGUUGCUCAAGCAGCACCCGAUGGCCAAAUUUACCAGUGGGUUGACAUAUUGGCCCACUCUCAGAAGGUACAUAAAUCAUAAACCGAAACAUCUCCAUCUAGUAGCUGAGUGUGAAUCUAUCUGGACCUAUAGAAAGGGCCUGUAUUUAUCGGAUUAGUCUGCUUCCAUGGCAGAAUAUAUACUGCAAGCACUUCUCUUUAAAAAGUACCCGUUUGAUUUUGGACUUGAUUGAACCCGCUGCUCGGUUGACAGAUUUUGUUGCAGAACUUGAAAUGGCUAGCUUACGAUAACAACAAUCAAUGGUGGCGCUUGAUGCCCUGCCCAGCAUCUCUCUUCUGAGAGCCCCAACCAAUUUGCCUACAGAGCCGUCAAUUGGCCUGAGCCUGCCUCUUCAUCAUCUAGUUUACACAGAGCUAAACCAAGGUAUUGUGGUAUUACAUCACUUCCAUCUAUCUUUUCCUUUUUGGCCUUCUUGAUCUUUCACAGUUUAGUGUUCCCAUUUCUUUAUUGGCACAUCCACCUUUAUGCACGUCUAUGGUAGCUGAAACUGAAAUGCAUCAUUAUUCAGAUAGACCAGAAGUGACUCCUGAAUUUAGUUACUCACUGGUUUCAGCAUCAUGCUGCUACAAUGUCACAAAGAUCAGACAAUUAGGUUGUCUGGGGCCACAGUCAUAUCACUACAAAAAUCUUUGAUCCGACUGUAAUUCAACAGCUUGGCAAGGGAGGACUUUUUGUCCAGUUUGAGUGCUGGCGAAAGCAGUCAUCUUCCUGGUUACACACAAGAUCUGUUUGCGCCAAACAUCCAUUUGUCUCCUGAGGAGCUUUUCCAAGUGCCAUCUCCAAUCCCUGGCAAUUUAAUGUGGACACCGGAGCAUACUUUCAUCAUUGAGUCGAGCAGCAGGGCAGAUUUUGGGAUCUGCCCAUCUCGCACGGGUUAUGGAGUCCAUAAUUCUAGGAUUGCAAGGCCCAAGGUGGCAUGGUGCAAGAUCCGUGAUGUGGUGAAGUGGGGAUUGGUUCAGCGCGUUGGGGCUGCAAAGAGAAGAGCAAUGUUCAAUUGUGCAAGUUAUCCAGCUGUAUAAAUGGAGAGUUCCAUCCCCCAAACAAAUUUUGGGUGCUUCAGGAGCGCGAAGCUCUCGCCCACACAAGCCAGUCACCACAUGCGAAGUUCAAAAAAGAAGGAAAUUCGUGAUACUUGAUGCUAGGAGAUUGUCUUUGGGGGUAUGAGAAUGUCUAAUUCUAGGGGUAAGCUGCCCAGGAUGCAUCAUCGACUUAGUAUUAUGCAUGAUCACUGCAAUUUUCUCUAUUGUUUUUUGUUGAUUGUCCUUUCAUAUUUGAAUGAAGUUGUGCACCAUCAAGAUGGGGCUGCCAAUUGGACAUGUCUUCUCUCUGUAGGCCACGCAAGCUGAUCUUAGGAAGUACCUCAAUACAGGGGUUCUUCCUCAAGAAUUGUAAGGCUUUUGCUCUCUUCUUCAAGAAUUGUUUGGCAUUCUGUUUGUCCCAAAUACAUCAUCCCUUGAUUUGUCAGUUUACUACUCUGAUAUGCUUAGUAGACUUUUCUUUGCUUUACAAAAUUUGUGAGUAUAUUACUUAGUUUGCGAGAUCCAAAGUUUCUCCUGUCAGCUUUGCUCUUAUUGAUCUGAAAUAUUAUAUGGUAACCAUUAGUCACAAAACCCACAAUCUUGACGGUAUAUAGUCAAGGUUCUUCUAUCGCCAAUGUGGGACCUUCUUUUCCAUCUAACAUUCCACCGAGUUCUUGUAGGCUUGGAUCUAAGACCGCUUCGAGACUAUUCCAGAGAAUAUUUCUGGGCGAGAAAAGAGAUGAAUUUUUCUCUUUCUAAAUUGUGCAGUUUUGCUUUCAUCUGCGAAAAAUUGAAAUGGAAACAAUCCAUCUUUAUCAUUGAAAAUAUGCAAGAUGUGCAAAGUUUCCCAUUUGAUCAAUGAAAAGUGCUUAUUUGAUUGUGAUAGUGAGUUCUAACGGAAGAAAUAGGGAGAACCAAAAAAGUAUCCUUGGGCAGAAAGUAAGAUCCGAAUACGAACUUGUAAAGAAAAGAGUGUACCAGCAAUCUAGGACGUUGCACACAUGUGCCACGUACCUAAAAUUGUCGAUGGUGUUAAGCAUGUUUUAGUUCCUAAAUCUGUCAUAGGUAACAGCGGUGAAAAAUGGAAUUCUUCUCUUGUAGGGCAAGGUCUUGGCAAGAAAGAGUAUUGGAUUUAUUUCCACUGCAGUGAAUAUGUUGUGGUGACGAGGAGAUUGAGAACGGAAUGUUCCUUAUGAACCUUUCCUCUUCCAGAACAUUGCGCACUAUCUUCUUGUGCUAAGAAAAUGGAAGCCUGAACUGCAAAGUUAGGAGGUCUCUUAUGUGAAAACUGUUGUCUAGGCUAAGCUGCAGAGCGUUCCUCUGUAUCUUCUGACAUUGGAGGGAAGUCUUGACGGCUUUUUCAAGAGUGAGAAAGGCCUAAGGCAGGUCAAUCCUUUAUUGCAUAUUUUUGUUAUGGUGAUGGAGGUUUUCCCAGAACUGUUCAAUAAUUCUGCAAGUCAUGGCAAAUCAAAAUACCAUUCUCAGUGCUCUAAGGGGAAACUUGCUGACGAUUUGAUGAUAUUUUCCAAAGGGGAUAUGGAUUCUUGAAUGAAACUAUUGACUUUGUUUCAGAGACUUAAGCACACGUCAGGUCUUAGUAUUAAUCCCCUUAAGACAGAGAUAUAUAUGUAGCUGGUAUUAAGUGGCAGCUAGUGGAUGAUAUACAUCUCUUGGUGGCUUGGCCAAAUGCCAGUUAGAUACCUUGGCCUUCCCCUGAUUUUGGGAAGGUUAAGAGAUAGAGUGUAAGCCUUUGGUGGACAAGAUUACUUUUCGAGUGAGUCCUUGGACAAUUAGGCAACUCUGUUGCGCUGAAAGAUUGCAACUAGGGGUGUGCAACGGGAACCGCCCGAACCGAGAACCGGCCGGACCAGACCGAACCGGCCGGUUUUGGGCGGUUCCCAUGGUUGGCGGUCCGGUUCCCGGUUCCUAAUCUUGGAACCGGUGGCCGGUCGGUCCGGUUCCCGGUUCUAAGGUGGGAACCGGACCGAACCGGACCGAAACAAAUUUUUUUAUAUAUAAUUUAUAUACAUAGAAUUAAUAAAUUAUAUAAACAUGAUAACUUAUUGCAACUAAAAUUGUAAUUUGAGGUAGCAUCAUCUUAUGUGGCCAAGAGACCAUUAAAACUAUUUUUAUUACUCUUUUUUUAUAGAAAAAAAUCUCCUUGUUAGUUUUUGUUGGAAAUAUGAUUUGUUUUUUUAUUCUAAUUAUCUAAAUACAGUUAAUUGAUUCUAUGAAUCCAUGAUAUUGGAUAUUAGGACAAUAGUAUAGGAAACAACAUAUUUUGUAUAUUCUUUCCUAUCGUACUCUUUUCUUGUAUUAUUAAUAGGUGUGUAAUACAUGUACAAACACAGCAAUACACAAUACAGAAAAUUCCUCCAAUUCCUUCUCAGUUUUUGUCAAUUUUCUUUCUCAUUUUCUAUCAGUUUCAUCUUCUACUUGAUGUGGGACUAAGGUUCCAAGAGACCCACAAGGCACUUCAAGCCUCCAACAAUCCCACAUUGACUAAACAUUUAAAGAGCAGAGAUUGUCUAUAAAAUCUAAGCCAUGCAUAACUUUUAGCCAAAUUAUUCACGGCUUUCAUGGUUAAAGUUAAGUGUGAAACACACAAAGUGUGAAUCACAUUUGAAUAUUUUGCACAUGGAAACAUGUGUGAUUAGUUUUGUUGAAUUGCUCAAAAACCGAAUUGGAUUGAUCGGUCCGGAGCGCGGUCACUCUUUUGUGCAAAAAAGUAUAGUCGAUUUUGUUGGACCGGACCGGACCGGACCGGAACCGAUGGUCGGUCCGGUUCCCGGUCUUAGGACCAAACGGUCCGGUCCACGGUUCACAAUUUUGGGAACCGGUGCUCCCGGUCCGGUUCCCGGUUCCAAGGUGGAACCGGACCGAACCGGGAACCGAUCACCCCUAAUUGCAACUCAUUGAGGAAGUAACAGCUUGGUGAAUUUUUGGAGUCAAAUUUUUUUGUUGCCAAAAAAGUUAUCAAUAUGAUGGAAAGCAAGUGUAACCCUUUUGGAAGGGAGAAUCUGAAAACGCUCGAGGUUCAAAAGUUGCCUGGAUGAUGCAUGUCUCCCCAGGUUUAAGGGUGGUUCAGCAUUGAGGAAACUAGGGCCUUGAAAUCUUGCUUGUCUAUUGAAGAACUUAAGGAAAUUUUGUUGCAGGUUGGAUCCAUUCGGGUGGCCUGGCUUAGCCGUUUCUUGCUUAAAGGGCAGUCUAUUUGGGCAAUGAAUCCAACUGGCGAGAGCAGCUAUGCUUGGAGAAAGUCUACUUGAAGCAAUGUAAAUUAGUAUAUAAUAUAUAGUUUCAUUUAAAAUUGAUAUUUGAAAAUUUGAUGGAGAAACGCGAACUCAAUUGUAAUUUGCAUUGCAAAGCAUGGCUUACGUUGUCACUUUUCUUCUUGUCCCAUAUAAAACUCGACCUCACUUACAACGUGGUUUUGAGAAGACUUUUUGAGAUUUACUACUUGUCAUGUCUUACACACAAUGGAUGAUGAGAUUGGAAAAAUGCAAAGUCAAGAUUUUCAAAUUAUGAUAUGGGAAAUCUAUUCUUAACUUUUCAUCACCAAUAUAUGAAGAUUACCAGAAGCCCACCGGACUAGAUCUUUGCUAGAAAUGCAUUUCCUCAUAGGGUGCGAACGAUAAUAGUUUUGUUUCUCUAUUUUUCUUUUCUCGAGAAUAGGUUUGGAAUAGAAAUCCGUUUGGUGAUGUAAUUUCAUUUUUUUAUCUUCAGAACAAAUUUUGCACCUAGAAAUAGGUUUGGAAGAAAAAUGAGAAGUAUAAAUUUUCUACUUUUCUCUUUCUAGAACAAAAAUAGAAAUAAAAACUUUUAAGGUGCGUUUGGUAAUCAUUCUGUUCCGGGGAAUAAUUUUUUAACAUAAAUAGUUUUUUUUUUGUUUUUAUUUCAUGGAACAAUUUCUGAGUAUAAGAACGCGCUUGGUAAUUGCAAAAAAAUUAUAUUCCAGGAAUAGAAAUACGUUUGAUAAACUUGUAUAAUUUUGUUAUUUCUUUUUAAUUUUUUAAUAUUUUUCCUUUUUUUCUUUUUUUUUUCCUUCUUUAUUCUUUGUAACCGGUGGCCGGCGGCUGGCGACCGGCGAGGUCCGACGAGCUUGCCGAAGCUUCACCAGGCCACUGCGAGGGCCGGCGAGCUCGCCGGAGCCUCACCAGGCCACCGCGAGGCUCAGCCUCACUAGAUAUGGGCCUCGCCGGUGGCCUCAAUAAAUAGGUGAGCCUCGCCAAGCCACCGGCGAGGCUCAAGCUUGCCCAAGCGACGCGAGGUCGGCCUCGCCUUGGAGCUUGCCCAGCCAAGGCGAGGCCGAGCUCGCCCAACCACCGGCGAGGCUCGGCCUCGCCAAGCCGACGUUGGGCAACAUCGCCUGCCAGUGGCCUGGCAACUCUCUGGAGAGGUUGUCGGCCCUCUACGGCCGGUCACUGACCAUGGCCGAGGCCGGCGACCAGCCAAAAGGAAGAAGAAGGAAAGAAAAAAGAGGAGAGAAAAUUUGUUUCUCAAAAUUGUUCCUGAGAUUGAUCUUGGGAACAAGAAGUUACUCUUUUCUACUUCUUGUUUUUGUUCCAAAUCUGUUCUCGGGAACAAAAGUUUUACCAUGUUUCUAUUUUAUUUUUGUUCCCCGGAACAAAAGAACAGAAAUUUUUGUUCCGGGGAACAAAAACACUUUUUACAUCACUCAUCCUUGUUGCUACCCUCCACCGGCCGUCGCUGUCCUCCACUGGUCACCUGCCCUUCGCCACCUAUUGGUCAUCGCCCUCCACUCGCUAGCCACUUGCCAGCCACCAAUCACCACCUUUCAUCGGCUGCCACCAAGAAAUUUUAAGACCUAUCAAACGAAUUUCUAUUUCGAGAAUGUAAAUUAUGUAUUGUUAUCAAAUACAUGUCUUUGUUCAUCAACUCAUCCAAUGAAUAGAAAUAGAAAAAUCUAUUUCUUACAAGAAAAUAUUACCGGGAACAAAAUGAUUAUCGUUUGCACCCUUAUUGAACUUGAAUUUAACCGGAACAAAUCAUAAUGCAGCGGAAUCUGAAUGGGUUCCAUAGGUAAGUUAAAAGACAAAAAAGAAAAAGAAAAAAUGUUGAAAGGUCAACGUCCCCAAGACAUGUCAGUGGGAGCUUAGGCAAAGAAUUUUCGCGGAGCAAACCUGAAAUGCAGUUGAUCACUUCGUCUCAAUUGCUCUCAGCUCACCUGUGACAUGACCGUUGGACGAUGACCACACACGUUCCACGUUCCUUUUUUACGAAUACUUUACAGAGGAUCAACAUCCAAUAGAUCAUCAGCGUAAUCUGGAGUAGAGUUUCCCAUAUCUAAAGGUCGAAAUCGCAUUUUCUUGAAAACGUCGUCCGCCCCUCUUCUCCAUUCCCAUCGCGAUCUACAUCGUACACCACUGAAAAUUAGUCCACAAAAUGCAUGAGAAAUUGCAUGGCAAAUAUUUCGCAAAGAUAAAAUCGGCAUUGAAACCAGAAAAAGGAUCCAAAUGCCAAUGUUCCCACAAAUAUGAGAGCUCACCAUUAGGGAUGGGCAUAGGGGCGAGUCCAAUCCCCAGCCGGCGAACUAGGAACCUGCACCAUCCCUGUCCCGUUCCCCACGCGUGGUAGGGUGUUUUGCGCGGUUCCGUUGAAAGGGCAGCAGAGGGUAAGAUAGAGAGAGACAGUGUAUUAACACUUUGCCAAAAAUUUUGCCUUAAUUCCCACUAGUAUCCGUGUAUUAAAAUAGAGCGGGAGGUACACUCAAGUCAACGCUUAGCGAGCCAUACCAACAUUGUCCAUAACAUUGUCCGUAGCGAGCCAAACCAACAAGAACCGACGCCCAGAGCUUAAUGGAUAAUUAGCGAAGACACUCAAGUCAACGCUCUAAAGUCAAACCUGAAACUGAAUACACCGCCAAAAACUAAAGGGCCGUUUGAGGAACUAAAGAAUCGACUACUCAGGAUGAGUUUGAAGAGAGUAGCCUGGUCAACUUCGACAAACUCAGCGACCCAGGCCUUUGAGGACGUCCUCGAUGGUGCCAUCGUCGGACUUGGCAAACUCGACGUGCUUCUUGCAGUACUCGAUUGACAUUGAAGUACGAUCGUAAUUUGAGGAACCAUGAUCACCACGGCGAAUGCACACCAAUGGGAGAGGCAAGGACACAAAUGCAGUCGAUGAGGAAGAUCACCCUUGGGAGCUCUGACGGUGAUCCGUUCGAGGUCAACGAGGCUGUGGCCGACGAGUCACAUACGAUCAAGCACAUAUACUCACCCUCAUUAUGCACAAUUGUGGCUGAUGUUUUAUCCCAUGUACUCAACAAUGCUCUGUAGGAGUGUUAGCGUCAGGGAAUUAAGCUUAAAAAGGAGAGUCCUGAGCCCCCCUUCUCUUUACAUAUGGCUUCCUAUUCUUUGUUGUUGCUGACCCUGUUUGAACUGCGGAUGUUCCCAAAAGAUUGUUGACUGUAUUGCACUCUUGUCCGCAGGAUUAUCUUGCAAAAGUCCUGUAUAUGCUUCAGUCCUAACACGGGUGCAAAGUUGAGAACAGAGGUAAGCACAGUCCAGGGAAUCAACGUUAUUCAGAACCCUGGUAACUAUUUGGGUCUACCUAUUCUAUGGGGUAGAUCUAAACGUGAAGCUCUUGGCUUUGUGAAGGAAAGAGCCCUGAAAAGAAUGCCGAGCUGGAAAACUAAAUCGGUCUCACAAGCUAGUAGAAUAGGUAUUACAACAAAAAGUAAUGCAAUGAAAUAAAAUAUAAAUCAUGGUAUAAAUACAUGUUGUAUCAGAAACAAAAAGUUAUGAAUAUUCAGAACUCAUUUUAUGAACUCAUUUAGCUAGUACAACAAAAAAGUUGGAAUAUGUGACCCCAUGUUGUAUCAGAACUCAUUUUAUGAAUAUUCCCGGUUCCUAAUGAAAUAAAAUAUAAGUCAUGGUAUAAAUACAAGAAGUUAUUCAAUAUAUCAUAAUAAGAUUGUUAAACAAGGUUAUCUUCUCAUCACUCCCUAAUAUUUCUUGAUUUCUUUUACUUUCUUUUUUUUUCAAAAGCGAGUUUGCUUCCCUAGCAAAGAAGGCAAGAGUUCAAGAUUCCAUUAUGAUAAAAUCAGAGAUUUAAAAAAAAAAACUACUGAAGAAUAUAUAUUUUUAUAAUCAAACGGAAGCGCUAUUACUUGUAAGGAAGAUGAACUCUGCCUAAUUAGCUUUUUCUUUUCCCUUUUUAUAUUCACCAACCGGUGAAGAUGAUAUGCUUGGCUCUCCUUAAGCUUCCUGUGAUUCCAAGGCUGACACCUAAGCUUCAAUCACAAUAAUAACUCAUCCCAUCUUAAGAGGAGACCUAUCAUCCAAUUCAUUCUUAAUUCAAGGAUAUCUCUAAGCCCUCUUUUGCUUUUUAUCACGCCUUAUGUUGAAAUCCACAAGGAACCAUUCUAGAUUUAUCUUCCUCAAGUGGUGGAAAUUACAAUUAUAAAUAAUCAGAAUUGGAAUUGACUAUCAAAAUCAAAACGUAUUGCUUUCUAAGAUGUGUUAAUCAUUACCAUUGUCUUGAGCAAAGGCUUGACGUUAAUAAUUUCCAAUCAAAAUUGAUUGGAUGAACUCAAUUAAUAAAAAGUUAGUAUAUUUUAGAUUUUUUGGAUAAUUUUCCCCUACUAAAUCCACUAUACUAUGGAAUUCGAAAUUAAACGGACCAAAUCACAACGCAACCCAAUCUGACUGGGUUCCGAUAGGCAAAGAGAAAAGACAAUUCAGAUUGGUCAAAAAAAUCUAAAUUAUGAUGUCACCGCGUUGAUCGGCACAAAAGGUCAACGUCCUCAAGGCACGUCGGCGGGAGCUUAUCCAACAAAAUUUCCAAGCAAGAAAGAAGAAAAACAAAGGAAAAAGAAAACCAAGUCAGCUUCUGAAUGAUCAAUCUUUUCUUGUUCAGUAUUCAAAAUGAAAAACAGAAGAGCCCACUGUCUUCAGAAAUGAAAACCAUCAAACUCGAUCUACUCUAAAGAACACAAGGCUAAUAGAUUCUUAUUCUCACCAGCACACAACAAAACAACAUCUCUCUCUCUCUCCCUCCCUCCUAUAAAUUACCCUCUUCACCACAUCUUACCUUGAAUCCAACAAGCCGUCGAACUCUUCAGUUUGUCCAUAAAUCGUACCAAAAAAGGACAGAACAUCUGGUUUUUUUGGCCUGUCUCUGUCUCGUCCUUGCUGAAAGAGGGGGAUGGCUGAGACGGUAGCGAGAGAGAGGAAGAUACUGGUGGCGGUGGACGAGAGCGAGGAGAGCAUGUACGCCUUGUCGUGGUGUCUCCAGAACGUCGUCUCCGAGAACUCCAAGGACACCCUCGUCCUCCUCUACGCAAAGCCCCUUCGUUCUGCCUACACAGCCCUCGACGGCACAGGUAAAAAACUAAACGUCAAGAUGUUCUUCUUCUUGUUCCGACAUGGUGGGGGUGGCGGCAGCAAUGAGGGCCUCCUCACCAUAGAGGCCCUUGUUGAUUUGCUUCCAAAACCCUUUUUUUUUUUUUUUAAUUAAUUUUUUAAUUUAAUUUAAUUAAUAUUUAUAUUAAAAAUCAAAUUUAUGGGCAAAACAGCGUAUUGCUGACUAAGCAUUCCAAUGAGUAACGUGGAUAAGUUUUAUUAUUGAAAUAAUGCAAUAUCAGAUUUCUAACUACUUUCGUCAGAAUUAGCACUUAAGUAUCCAUUUUUUUUUUAAAUGCCACUUAAAAUGCCACUUAAAUGUAUUUUUUGAAGUUUUGGCACUAAAGUGUUGGCUCAUGCCAAGUUUUGGCACUUAUGGUGUACAUUUGCCCUCGUCCUCCUCUAUGGAAAGCCCCUUUGAUCUUCCUACAGGUAAAAAAACUAAACGUUCUUUUGCUAUGGAGACCAUCUCUUGCGAUUAUAUUUAUAGAGUGGUUUUGACAUUUUUAUUUUUCAUUUCGUUCUUUGUUCCGGUACCUGUUUUCUUCAGACAUAGUGGCCACCAUGGAGAGGUACAACAAUGAAAUGGCCGACUGUUUUAUGGCUAAGGCUAAGAAGAUCUGCCAUGAUUGUGGUGAGAUGAGCUCUUAUUAAGGCAUAAAUUUCUAAAUUUCAAUAAGCGAAAUAUCAAAGGGAUUACUGUGAUGGUUGACCUGGGUAUGGUUGCUGUUAUUGGGGACAGGUCGAGGUGGAGACGAGCGGGAGAAUGGGGAUGCAAGAGAUGUGAUCUACCGAGGGACGCAGAAGUUGGCACCUGAUGUUCUGGUGAUGGGAAGCCAUGGGUACAGCCUUAUCAAGAGGUACUUCAAAUACUCAUUUCGUUUAGUUACUCAAAAACUCCUGAUAUCGACCCUAACGCUAGAACAUUGCUUCAGUGGAAAGACAUGUAUUAUGUAGCCCUAGAUUGAGAAAUGCUUGCAUUGCAAGUGUGGGUGAACGAUUUUACGAUAGGUAGGUUCCAGAUUAUUGUUGUGAGUAGCAUUCGAGAACCAGGCCUAACUUUAAAUGUUGUCAUCAUUGUUUUGGAAGAAAAUAUAAUGUAAACAAUUUGUGGUAUGGUGGUUAAGAAACUAAAGGAUUCAUAAAUUUUGGGUUUGAAACCCAUCUCUAGCAUAUCUAACAUUUCUUUAUAUAAAAUGAAAAGAGCAAAUGAAAAUCGGUCCAAUUGCUCACCCUAGUUGAAAGUUGUCCUCACCUAUACGCGGGCAAUCUAAAAGUCUCUAAGUUUUCGAUUGACUAUUUAAUGAUUUAUUCCUAUUAGUAGAAUGAGGGGAAGUAAUAAGCUUUUAGUCUUAAUUGUAAAUUUCUUUUUUGUUUUGGCAAGUAGAUUGUAAUAUUUGUAUGGAUAUUGGCUAGUGAUUGGUGAAAUGUGGCAGGGCGUGAGCUAUCACUAUACUCAAAAUGUCGAGUGCCCUAUGUUGGUAGUGAAGAGACCCACAUCUAGCAGGAAUAACUAAAACUCGAAUCUGUAAAGUUUGUGCUUGGGAUCUUCCUUGGUUGGGUCCAAAUCCUAGGUUGCCUUUAAGCACUUUGUCAAGUUUCAUUGUAUAUACUCCCACAUUGUCUAGUGUCCUCAUUGUUUCUUACCUAGGCUUUCUGUACAUGCAUAUUCUUCGUCAAUUAUGACUUAUGAAUGGAUUGAUUUUUUGUUAAUAAAACUUUAUUAACACCCAAAUUUUGACGGAUCUACUUAAUCAUUCAUUAAUUACAUAAAAAAUUAUGGAUUAAUUUUUAACCUUUAGAAAAAAUAAUUUUCAUUAAAUUGCAUUGCAUAAAAACAUUAGGAGCAUUUGCAUUACUAGUAUUAAAGUUUAAAAAAAUUUAAGAAUUUUAAUAUUAUAACUUUUAUAAUUAUUUAUAUAUAUAUAAAUAUAUAUAUAUAUAUAUAUAUAUAUAUAUAAAUUUAAAAAAAGUAAGACCCGCCUUCUUUUUUUUACCCUCUUCUUCCUCUUUCCCGUAGCCCGCCCUCUCCCUCGCGCUCUCACGCGUAAAAAGGAAAAAAUAGAAGGCUCGUACGAGCAGAAGGACAAGAGAGCAGAGGGCAAAGCGUCUCACCGGAGUGGGUGGUCGGGUGCAGACCAGCGACGGCAGCUGGUGUCACGGGAGGCCAUGUGCGUCGGUGGCCAUUAAAAGGAAAGAGAGGUAGAGAGAGAGGGGGCAUUUUUACAGAGGAAGGAGACUGAGAGGGAGAGAGGCGCGUAGAGCGAGAGCCGAGAUAGAACGGGGAGCGAGAGUGAGCUGGGCCGACACCGCGGCCACGCACGAACUCCGUCCGAUGACCACGCCCGGUCGAUGUCUUCAAGCCGAACGGGUAAAUCUUUCUUUUUUCCCUCUUUUUUUCUGCCCUGUUUUGGGGCACGCCGGGCCGGAGCUCGCGACCGUCUGGCUCACGCGAACUCCGGCCCCGUCCAUCCCUCCUUCGGUUGUUGUGUGUUUCCUUGUCUGUUUGGCGAGAGUCCCGGUUUUGGUUCGGGUCCCUGGUCGAGUCGGAGACCUCACGAUUCGUGCGCGCCCUUCACCCAUUCGCCGAAAUGCUUCUUCAGUGAGAUCUAGUUUUCAUCCUCCCGUUUUUAGACAAAACCGAGCGUCCUGGAGUUGAUUCGUUCUGUUGAGGCGGGUGUUGUUGAGUUUGCCGUUCCGGGCGUCGGUCGUUUCGCCAUAUUCUCGCCACGGCCGUCAUUGUUUAUGUUUGCGCGUGGCCGAGGGCGCCACGGCCGGCGAUGUCAGGUUCCGGCCUAGGAGUGACGGCCUAGACGGAGGGGUUGUCUUCAGGGUGGCCGUGUUUUUUCUGCUUGGUCCGCGGCCGCUCACGGUGGUCGUCCGCGGAGGCUCCGCAGUUUCUUGCGGAUCGGCGUCCAAGCGGCCCCGUCAUGGUUGUCAUUGGAGCCUCACCGGCCAGACGAAAGCCAAGUGCUCGGCCCCGGGGCGGCUGAGGCGAAGCCUAGAGGCGUCCUUGGCCGGGCGAAGACGGGCGGCGUCGCUCAUCGCGGCCAUCUCCGUCGCGCUGAGACUGCCGCGAGCGUGGGGGAGGAGCUGCGGUUCGGGGGAUGGAAUGAGUACGAAGGAUGGACUCAAGGCUUGGGGUCUUGAUUUUGGUUUGGACUGAAUUGGGGAUUGGGCUUUAGGAUAAACUUAGGUCUUUUUAAGUGGGCUCGGUUUAGCUUUGGAAAGCUUGGGCUUGUUAAUUUAGCUCUUGGGUCGAGCUUGUUUUGUUAGAGUUGGACUUAGCUAAAUGCUGGAGGAAUUGGGCUUAAUUCUAUGAGGUGAGCCCAAUUCGUUUUUUAAUUAAUUAAAGCCUCCUAAUGUGUAAAGCCCAUUUCACGUCCUUGAGCCCAGCUUCGUAUGAACUGAUGCAGCCCAUUUUUGGGACUGCGCCCGAGUCCCUAUUGUCGGAUAAAAAUUUUAAAAUUUUAAAAAUAUAUUUUUUAAAAUAAAAAUUUCGAAUUUUUUUUUUCUGAAAACUAUGGAAAAGCUAAAAAUAAAAAAUAAAAAAUAUCUUUUAAGUAUUUUUUUCUUAAAAUGUGUAAAAAUCCUUAAUAAAAAAUUCGUGUUCAAAAUUGAACAAACUCUUAGGACUUCGCUAUAGGAUUUGGAUGUCCUUAAUGGCAAAUGGUAGGCUAUGAUUUGUGCACUUCCAUUUCCAUGAUCACUUGAUUGCACACUUUUAAAAUGUUGUUUGUUGUUUGCCUUUAGUCUAGUUAGGGGAUGACAAGAUAACAUGACAAUGAUCAAUGAAUGCCAAAAAAUGGUAAAAGUCUAGCAAAAUAAAGUUCAUGAUCGUGUCAAGUGAAGAAUCAUACCUAUGCAUCAUCGUUAGCAUCGGUAGAGUCAGCACUCUCACCCAUUUUAAUUUCAAAAUCAAAGUGACCUCCGGCAUCAUCAUCUUCAAAAAAAGAUGUGCACUUCCUUUUUCCCCUGUCAUAGAUUUGUACAGUUUAAACCAUCCAAAUAAAUAAGAUUAGGAAUUUUUAAAGAAUAGGUAUAGAAGGCUUACAUCUAAAUCUACUGGAUCAUUGGCUUACUAGAAAGGGCAUAAAUCGAAGUCGGAGAAAUAGGAACAAACCAAUGUGAAUAGAACAUCUCUCUCUCUCUCAAUCGAAAUUGCGCCUGUGAAUAGGUACAUUAUAAGUAUUGUCAAAAACCCUAAGCUAUCCAGGGGAAAAUAUGCAACCAUGCAAUACCCAGCAUCACAAGCAUAACCUCCAGAGAUACGAGUAUUGAUUUCCUGUCAACUCACCAAUUUAGUAACUGUUCACAUCCUUGUUUGUCAAUAUAUAUAUAUAUAUAUAUAUAUAUAUAUAUAUAUAUAGACAAUUCAGAUAGCAUUAAAUAAUGAAGCGAUUUGAUCUUAAAACUUCUAUGCUCCUUUCUAAUUACCAAAAAAUAUGAGUUAUAACAGAUCUAGGUUACCUCUUCAUCUCAUUUCUUCUCAGCCUUGUCAGACGCUGCCUUCUCAGCCUGCAAAGAAAAAAUAAAGCCCAUGAAUACUCUAUACUCUUACCAAAUUCAAAAGUAAAACUUACAAGGAGCAAAACCACUUGCAUCCUUGUUCUUGCCCCAUGUUUCUUCAGCAAGCUUCGUGGCAUACUCAGGAUCAUCACAGACCAAGGCAUUAUUGAAUAAGGUUCCAGAUCUGACUUGACAAAUCGAGCGUAGAGUAAACCGAAUUUUGAGCUCCCGGAACAUUGUUAUUAAAUAAAACUGGAUCGGUUACAGAAAAAUUACCUGCCACAGUUCAUUCCAACAUGCUUUAAGAUGGGGAAGCCAUAGAGCUCUGGGUCAUCUUUGAAGUCUAUAAAAAAUACAUAGGAUAGACUUCAAAGAACUUUCAAAUAACAGCAAACAAUAGCAGCGAACAAGAAAAGAAUAACAUUGAUGUACAUCUAAGCUUAAGAAAAGAACUAGUGAUUAAGACCCUGGGUUGUCCAUUAUUGGUGCCUUCCACUUUUCCCUGUAGUUGGGAUUCUUAAUUCUCUGCAAAUAAGCAUGAUCAAGAGAAUCCCUUAAAGCAGUCCAGAACGUAGACUCACAAGUUGCAUACCUUUGGCUUCCAUGGACCCUUUUAUUUAGGGUUGGCAAUGGUCGGGGUAGUCCACUCACCAUCCACCUCAUUGGCCCAGUCUUUGGGCUUAAAUCAUAAUCUUGAUUAGUAACUAAAUAUUGUACAUCAACCUCAUGAAAGCAUGGUUGAUAAUCAGCUUCAAAUCGAAAUCAUCGUUUAGCAGGUUUACCAUCUUGGCAGUGGGAUUUGGUGUCUUUUUUGGGAUGUCAUCAAUCAUAGCCCUGUCAUCACAUCUACAAUAUCCUUUUAAAAGAUUUACAGGAAUACUGCAUUUAAGAAAUCCAACAAAUAGAAGACAAAAUGAUCAUAUAAUCUUCUGGCGUGCGAAACCUAUAUGGGGUGUCGCCACCAAACUCUUUCUGAUCAACCUCCCUACUGAGUAGCUUUAUGUGCCCCNNNNNNNNNNNNNNNNNNNNNNNNNNNNNNNNNNNNNNNNNNNNNNNNNNNNNNNNNNNNNNNNNNNNNNNNNNNNNNNNNNNNNNNNNNNNNNNNNNNNAGAGUCAUGUUUUUGCGCAUGUAUUACAGAGAAUUGGGAAACUAGUCUUUGUCCUUGUUACAGAAUUUAGGGCACUGAGCUGAUAUAGCAUAGAAUGUAUAGUCUUCACUUUUUUGGAUACCUGCAAAUGCAAGGAGGGAUUACUGCUACAGAAUUUGCCAUUAGUCACUCCAAUUUAAGGAAACUUUCCAUCUUCAAUAGGUAAUUGACUCAACUUACCAUGUUGAAUUUGCAAGAUGAAAAAUUCUUAGGUUAAAUCUAAUCUUCCCUUGGGAAGCUCGUCCAAAUCUCCUCUUUGGAUCUUAGCUUUAAUCAACUCUUUGGGAAAAACUACUUCCUUGACCAAAUUCACCAACCUCAUUUACAAUCGGUCAAAUUCCAGCUGAGAUCACUAGCCUCACCUGUCAACUUAUCUAAACCUAUCCUUUAAAAAAUCAGCUGAUCCAACUCCUGAAAACAUUUCUAACCUCAGAAUCUUACUAUCCUAGACUUGCAAUCAAACAACCUAAAUGGCACUUUGUUGCUAAACCUGGUGCUCAGAUUAAAACACUUAAUGGUGUUGGUACUCCCAUUUGAUGAAUUCUCAUCAAUUAUUGAAUCCAAAAUGAAUGCUAGCCUUUCAAACUUGUUUGCUCUCUACUUGGCUUCAAGCAACUUAAGUGAGUUCCGCAUCUUCCUAUUGGACCAAAGUAGGUUGCAAAGGUUGGACCAAUCCCAAAAUAGCAUUUAUGGGCUGCCAUCUCGGUGGUUCUUAAUUGUAAGUAUAGCAAAAUUGGAGUUUUUGAAUCUUUCCAGAAAUUUUGUACAAGUUUCACAGCUUUUAAAUGCCCAAAUCUUAUGACAUUAGACCUUAGUUACAACAAUGUACAAAGCUUACAAUUCCCCCGAAGGCCAAUAAAUUUUAUUGUCUUCAAUAACAAACUAUCCGGAGAAACAUCACCGGCUAUAUUCUAGCUAAGCUCCACUUUAAGUCCAAGAACAAGUUGACCGGCGUUAUCCUGCCAUACUGAGCAAUUUGAGCGAGGCCCUUCUCACCUUGAGUUUGCAUGGCAAUGAUUUUUAAGGAAGAUUUCCUCCAUUACAGACUAAUGAAAGUGCAAUGGGAAUGACAGAUUUGGGUGCUAACCAACUACAAGGGAACUACCAAGGGCAUUAGCCAAUUGUAACAGUCUAGAUUUUCUCAAUUUGGGAAAUAAUCAGAUGGUUGACACCUUCUCUUCAUGAAUAGGCUUGCUUUCUUGUUUGAAGGUGCUCAUUAUGCGUACCAAUAUAUAUUUCUGUAGCCAUGAGGGACUUCAAUGCUCGUUCUCAGUUUCCUAACGUACAAAUUGUCGAUCUAUCCAUGAACAACUUCUUGACUGGCCUCCCAUCUGAAUACUUGAUUGCUGGAGUGACACGAAAGUCAACAAUUCAGAUGAUGCAACUACUAGAGGAACUACGUGCCCCCAUACCUCCCAUUUCCUGAGUUUGAGGGAAUUAUGACUACUCAAUGAUGAUAAUCAACAAAGGCAUUAUAAUAACAAAAGGUUAUUAUCUUUGGAAAUUGUUGGAAAAUAUGGUAACGAUUAGAGUCACAAAGCCCACAGUCUUGACUGUAUAUAGUCAAGGCUCCUCUAUCGCCAACGUGGGACAUUUUUGUCCACGUAACAUUCCCCCAAGUUCCUGUAGACUUGGAUCUAAGACCGCUUCAAGACUUCAUUUUCCAGAGAAUAUUUCUGGGUGAGAGGGGAUGAAUUUUUCUUUUCUAAAUUGAGCAGUUUUGCUUUCAUCUGCAAAAAAUCGAAAUGGAAACAAUUAAUCUUUAUCAUUGAAAAUUAUGCAAGACGUGCAAAUUUUCUGUUUGAUAAAUGAAAAGUGUUUAUUUGAUUGUGAGAGUGGGUUCCAAGGGAAGAAAUAGGAAGAGAACCAAAAUAGCAUUCUUGGCCAGAAAGUAAGGAAUUUGUAAAGAAAAGAGUGUAUCAGCAAUCUAGGAUGUUACGCAUGACGUACCACUUACCUAAAAUUGUCAAUGGUGUUAAGCAUGUUUUUAGUUCCUAAAUCUGUCAUGGAUAACAGCGCUGAGAAGUGGAAUUCUUCUCUUGUAGGGCAAGGUCUUGGCAAGAAAGAUUAUUGGAUUUAUUUCCUCUACGGUGAAUAUGUUGUGGGGAUAGGAGGAGAUUGAAAAUAGAAUGUUCCUUAUGAGCUUUCCCUCUUCCAGAACAUUGCCCGCUAUCCUCUUGUGCUAAGGAAAUGGAAGCCUGAACUGCAAAGUUAGGAGGUCUCCGAUGUGAAAACAGUUGUUGGGUUAAGCUACAGAGCGUUCCUAUGUAUCUUCUGACAUGGGAGGGUGGUCUUGAGGGUUUCUUCAAGGGUGAGAAAGGACUAAGGCAGGUUGAUCCUUUAUUGCAUGUUUUUUUAUGGUGAUGGAGGUUUUCCCAAAACUGUUCAAUAAUGCUGCAAGUCAUGGCAAAUCAAAAUACCAUUCUCAGCGCUCUAAGAUGAAACUUGCCGAAAAGGGGAUAUGAAUUCUUUGAACGAAGUAGUGGCCUUGUUUCAGAGACUUAAGCACACGUCAGGUCUUAGUCUUAAUCCCCUAAAGACCGGGAAAUAAAUCUAGCUGGUAUUAAGCGGCAGCUAGUGGAUGACAUACAUCUCUUGGUGACUUUAAAAAGGGCCAAGUGCCAGUUAGAUACCUUGGCCUUCCUCUGAUUUUAGGAAGGUUAAGUGAUCCAGUGUAAGCCUUUGGUGGAUAAGAUUACUUUUUGAAUGAGUUCUUGGACAAUUAGGCAUCCGAAAGAUUGCAACUCAUUAAGGAAGUGACAGCUUGGUGAAUCUUUGGAGUCAAUUUUUUUUUUUGCCAAAAAUGUUAUCAAUAUGAUGGAAAGCAAGUGUAUUGCCUCCCUUUGGAAGGGAAAAUCUGAAAGCGCUCGAGGUUCAAAAGUUUCUUGGAUGAUGCAUGUCUCCCCAAGUUUAAGGGUGGUUUAGGAUUUGAGGAAACUGGGGCCUUGCAACUUUGCUUGUCGAUUGAAGAACUUACGGAGAUUUUGUUGCUGGCUGGAUCCUAUGGGCCCUUGAACAUUGCCCACUGUCCAUUUGGGUGACAUGACAAAAUUUCUUCAGCAUAAAUUAAUUUCUCAAUUUCUAUUCCCUAAAUAAAUUUUUGAGUAAAGAAACGGGUUUAUCAACGAUUCAAAAUUUUUGUUUUUAGAAUAGAAAUUCAUUUGAUAACAAAAUAAAAUUUCUAUUUCUAGGAGAGGCAACGGCGGGCAUCCGUGGUCCGAUGAUGGGCGUCCAACGAUGGGUGGCUGACGUUCGGCAUCAGGCGGCGGGCGACCGGCGGCCGGCAAUGGGUGAGCAGCGAGUAGUAAUAGGAGUGAAUGAUAAAAAGAGUGUUCAUUUCUUACUUUUGUUCCAAAAAUAGAAAAAAAAAUAGAAAAAAAUAGAAAAGCUAAUAAUUUUAGGACGCAUUUGGUAACGAUUCUGUUCCUGGGAACAAAUUCUGAUUUGAAAUGAUUUUUUUUUUAUUUUAUUCCUGAAAACUGAUUCUGAGUAAAAGAAAAUGCGUUUGGUAACUAUACAAAAUUUCUGAUUCUAGAGUAGAAUUGCAUUUGGUACCGUGCUAAUUGAUUCUAUUCCAAAUCAUUUUUUUUAUUUUUUAUUUUUUAUUUUUUUUUAUUUUUUUCUUUUCUCUUUUUUCCUUUUUUUUUCUUUUCUUUCUUUUCUUUUUUUCCUUUUUUUUUCUUUUCUUUUUUUUAAAUUUUUUUUCGCCUAUUCUUCUUCUUCUUCAAGCCGGUCGCCAGACCGGCGACCGACUAGAUGAGGGCUAGCGACCUCAUUAGAGUGUUGCCAGCCCUCAACAAGGCCGGCCCUCGUCGGCCGAGCCUCGCCGAUAGCUGAGUGAGGCUCGACUCGCCAGAUCCAGCAAGGCCGAGCCUUGCCGAUGGCCAGGCCGGCCUCGCCGGGGCUGUGCGAGGUCGACCUAGCCACCGACGGGGCUGGACAAGCCUCGCCGGUGGCCAGGCGAGCCUCGUCAAGGCUAGGCGAGGCCUGCCUAGCCACCGACAGGGCUGGGUGUCGUGAGGCUCACCCACCUACCGGCUAGGCACGGCCUCACCGGUGGCCAAGUCGGCGACUUGUGCAAGCUCACUGAUGGUUGGGUGAGACUUUGGCGAGCUCGCCAGACCUCGCCGGUGGCUGGGCGCGCUCGCUGGACCUCAUCGAUGGCUGGGCGCACUCGCCGGACCAGUUGCCGGUGAUUGGCGGUAGCGACCGGCGACAGCAGGCGACGGUGGGCGGCGGUCGCAAGAUGGCGGUCGAUGAAGAAGAAGAAGAUUUUUGAUUUUCAAUUUGUUCCUGGAACAAGAAUCAACUUUUUUUUUUUUUAUUCUUGAUUCUCCUCCAAAUCUGUUCCUAGGAACAAAAAUUUUACCAAAUGCAAUUCUGUUCCAAAACUACUCCCAGGAACAAAAAAUCAGAAUCUAGCACUGUUGGGAUGGUUACCAAACAGGCUCUUAACUUCUGAUUUUGCUCCAAAUCUAUUUAUAGAAUAGAAAUUUGUUUAAAAAAAAUGAUAUUGCGUUACUAAAUGAAUUUUUGUUCAAACAUGUUAUGAGGAUCACAAAAAUAAAAAUAAACAUAAACAUAAAUUUUGUCAUGGACAUCUUUAAAGGGCAAUCUAACUGGGCAAUAAGUCCAACUAGCGAGAGCAGCUAUGCUUGUAAAAUAGUAUAUAAUGUAUAGUUUCUUUUAAAAUUAAUUUUAAAAUUCGACGGAAAACCCAGUAAUUAAUUAAUUAAUUGUAAUUUGCACUGCAAAGCAUAGCUUGAGUGGUCACUUUUCUUCAUGUCCCAUAUAAAACUCGACCUCUCUUACGACUUGGUGUUGAGAAGACUUUUUUAGAUAUGCUAAUUGUCAUGUCUUGCACAUAAUGGAUGACGACUGGAAAAAUGGGAAGUCAAGAUUUUCAAAUUAUGAUAGGGGUAAUCUAUUCUUAACUUUUCAUCACCAAUAUAAAAAGAUUACUAGAAGCUCGCUAGACUAGAUCUUUGCUAGAAAUGCAUAUCCUCUUAGAUUGCGAAUGAAAAUUAUUUUAUUUCUUUUUAUUUCUUUUUUUUUUCUGUUAUUUAGAAUAGGUUUGGAAUAGAAAUUCGUUUGAUAAUGCAAUUUCAUUUUUCUAUUUUCAAAACAAAUUUUUAGCUAAGAAAUAGAUUUUGAAUAAAAAUGAGAAAAGUAGAAAUUUUCUACUUUUCUAUUUUUGGAACAGAAAUAGAAAUAAAAACUCUUUUCAUUACUUGUCAUUACCAUCCUCUGCUAGCAAAUGGUCGUCGCCCUCCACCCAUUGCCCACCCGCCACCCGCCAGCCACCAAUCACCACCCUUCACCAACCACUCCAACCACUGCUAAGAAAUUUUAAGGCUAUCAAACGAAUUUCUAUUUUAGGAAUAUAAAUUCUGUCACAUUAUCAAACGUAUAUCUUUGUUCAAAAACUCACCUAAGAUAUAGAAAAAGAAAAAAAAAAUAUUUUUGAUAAGAUAUUAUUCUUAAGAACGGAAUGAUUAUUGUUUACGCCUUUAUUAAACUUGAAUUUAACCGUGAACAAGUCAUAACACAGUCAAAUCCAAAUGGGUUUCAUAGGUAGAAAGACAAAAAAGUUGAAAGGUUAACGUCCCCAAGACAUGUCGGUGGGCGCUUAGGCAAAAUUUUGAAAAACAAAACCGAGGCAAUUUUCGCUGAGCAAACCACAAAUGCAGUUGAUUACUUCGUCUCAAUUGCUCUCAGCUCACUUGUGACAUGGCCUUUGGACGAUGACCACAUAUGUCUCACGUAAGGGUGAGCAUCGAUCUAAGGUCAACCCUGGACCAACCUUGGAUCGGCCCAACUCUACCGGUCCUAGUCCAGUUCCUAGGAAGAUCAAGUCGAUCAUUGGUCCUGGGAUUCCUAGACCAAUACUGUACGGGUUGAUCCUCGAUUCUGAAAGUUUAGAUAUAUAUAUCUAAUAUAUUAUUUAUAAUUUUUUAUAUAGAGAAAAUCCUAAAAUAAACGGCGCCAACAGCAUUAAAUAGCUCCUUAGUAUGGAGUUGAAUAAUUUUACACUAUUUUUUAAUAACUUAGAUCUUUUAAUGUCUUUUACGGCGUCAAAAGUCAUAAUUUACAAAGAAGAAAUAUGUUUUUAUGAGGAGUCCUCAGGGUGUUCAAAAGAGCAUAAAUAACUCCUCACGGCAUCCUCAUCUAAUACUCGUUUUCUUCUAUCCUAUUUGUUAUCUUAGUCUUUAAUUUGCCAAAAUCAAAAGAAAUAACUUUUAUGCUCGCCACUUAACACUAGCCUCUCACUUGCUUUGGGUCACUCCUGCCGCUCGCCGCUCAAUGCUUGCCUAGCUUGUUGCUCCCUGCUCGAUGCUCGAUGCUCACCCCACUCGAUACUCGUCACUCGCCUCUCUUAGCUAACCUCGCUUGUCAUUGAACCUAUAAGGUCAGUCCAGUUCUCACUCACUUUUUCAAGGAAUACAAAAAUGAAACAAAAAAUUAUUAAUUGAUCCUGAGUUGAUUAUAGAAUUGGACCAAACCCAUUAGGUCGAUCUGGUCCUUGAUUGCCUUUUUAGAUAGUACAAAAAAUGAAAUAAAUAAAUUAUCGGUUGAUCCCGAGUUAAUCUUGGAACUGGACCGAACCCACUGGGUUGGUUUGAUUCUUGGUCCCAAGCUCAAUAGGAUCGGUCCUCGGUCCUCGAUUCAAAAAAUUGAUAACCAGUACUAUGUGGGUUGGUCCUAGAGUAAGGGGGUGGGCCAACCCAAUCCAAACCAUGCUCACCCCUCUUCACGUUCCACGUUCCGACCCAUGGACAGUGCCCUUUUUAUUAUUUUCCUUUGUUUUCUUGCUUUUUUUUCUUUUUCUUUUUUUUUUACUUCCUUUUUGACAAAUCCUUUAUAGAGGAUCAAAAUCCAAUUUGUCAUCAGCGUAAUCUAGAGGAGAGUUUCCCAUGUCAAAAGGUGGAAACCACAUUUUCUUGAAAACGUCGUCCGCCCUUCUUCUCCCUUCCCAUCACCAUCUUCAUCGUACACCACUGAAAAUUAGUCCACGAAAUGCAUAAGAAAUAGCAUCGCGAAGAUUUCGUAGAGGUAAAAUCGACAUUAGAAUCAGAAAAAGGAGCCAAAUGCUAAUGUUCCCACAAAUAUGAGAGCUCGCCAUUAGGGAUGGGCAUUGGGGCGAGUCCAAUCCCUAGCCGGCUAACUAGGAACCUGGGCCAUCCCUGUCCUGUUCCCCACGCGGGGCAGGGUGGUCGCCGGCAGUUCUUUGAAAGGGCGGCAGAGAGUAAGAUGGAGAGAGAGAGAGAGUGUAUUAACACAAUACCAACAAUUUUGCUUUAAUUCCCACUAGUAUCCGUGUAUUAAAUCAGAGCGGGAGGUACACUCAAGUCAACGCUCAGCGAGCCAAACCGACAUUGUCCUUAACAUUGUUCGUAGCGAGCCAAAUCGACGAGAACUGACGCUCAGAGCUUAAUGGAUAAUUAGGAUACGUUUGGUAACGUUUUUUGUUUAAAAAUUGUUCCAAUGAACAAAAAUAGAAAAAACCAUUUCUCUUCCGGGGAAUAAUUUUUUAACAAAAGAACGUGUUUGAUAAAUUUGUUCCUGGAAUAGAAAAAGAACAUGAACACGUUUGGUAAACUUGUAUGAUUUUUUUGUUUCCUUUAAUUUUUUAAUAUUUUUAUUUUAUUUUUAUUUUUUUCUUUUCCUUUUUUUCUUUUUUUUUUCCCUUCCUUUUGGUCGGUCGCCGGCCUCAACCAUGGCCGACGACUGGCCGACAAGGGCCGGUGGCCUUGCCCAGCCAUGGCGAGGAUCGCCAGCCCUCGGCGAGGCCGAGCCUUGCUAUGGCUAGGCGAGGCUCGGCCUCACCUUGACUGGGCGAGCUCGAGCUUGCCCAGAUUCAGGGAGGCCGAGCUCACCCAGCCACUAGCGAGGCUCAGCCUCGCUCGGCCAUUGCCAGGUGAUGCCUACCUGGCUGUGGCCCGGCGACGUUGGGUGAGCUCGCCUAGAUUCGGUGAGGCCGAGCCUCACCAGCCGCGCGAGGUCGGCCUCGCCUUGGCUAGGCAAGCUCGAGCUCGCCCAGAUUCGGUGAGGCCAAGCUUCGCCAGUGGUUAGGCGAGCUUGAGGUCGCCGGCCCUCACUAGCUCUUGACAGGCGGUCGCCAACCAUGGUCGAUGGCGGCGACCGGUCCACUGAAUAAGAAGAGGAAGAGAAAGAGGNNNNNNNNNNNNNNNNNNNNNNNNNNNNNNNNNNNNNNNNNNNNNNNNNNNNNNNNNNNNNNNNNNNNNNNNNNNNNNNNNNNNNNNNNNNNNNNNNNNNNNNNNNNNNNNNNNNNNNNNNNNNNNNNNNNNNNNNNNNNNNNNNNNNNNNNNNNNNNNNNNNNNNNNNNNNNNNNNNNNNNNNNNNNNNNNNNNNNNNNNNNNNNNNNNNNNNNNNNNNNNNNNNNNNNNNNNNNNNNNNNNNNNNNNNNNNNNNNNNNNNNNNNNNNNNNNNNNNNNNNNNNNNNNNNNNNNNNNNNNNNNNNNNNNNNNNNNNNNNNNNNNNNNNNNNNNNNNNNNNNNNNNNNNNNNNNNNNNNNNNNNNNNNNNNNNNNNNNNNNNNNNNNNNNNNNNNNNNNNNNNNNNNNNNNNNNNNNNNNNNNNNNNNNNNNNNNNNNNNNNNNNNNNNNNNNNNNNNNNNNNNNNNNNNNNNNNNNNNNNNNNNNNNNNNNNNNNNNNNNNNNNNNNNNNNNNNNNNNNNNNNNNNNNNNNNNNNNNNNNNNNNNNNNNNNNNNNNNNNNNNNNNNNNNNNNNNNNNNNNNNNNNNNNNNNNNNNNNNNNNNNNNNNNNNNNNNNNNNNNNNNNNNNNNNNNNNNNNNNNNNNNNNNNNNNNNNNNNNNNNNNNNNNNNNNNNNNNNNNNNNNNNNNNNNNNNNNNNNNNNNNNNNNNNNNNNNNNNNNNNNNNNNNNNNNNNNNNNNNNNNNNNNNNNNNNNNNNNNNNNNNNNNNNNNNNNNNNNNNNNNNNNNNNNNNNNNNNNNNNNNNNNNNNNNNNNNNNNNNNNNNNNNNNNNNNNNNNNNNNNNNNNNNNNNNNNNNNNNNNNNNNNNNNNNNNNNNNNNNNNNNNNNNNNNNNNNNNNNNNNNNNNNNNNNNNNNNNNNNNNNNNNNNNNNNNNNNNNNNNNNNNNNNNNNNNNNNNNNNNNNNNNNNNNNNNNNNNNNNNNNNNNNNNNNNNNNNNNNNNNNNNNNNNNNNNNNNNNNNNNNNNNNNNNNNNNNNNNNNNNNNNNNNNNNNNNNNNNNNNNNNNNNNNNNNNNNNNNNNNNNNNNNNNNNNNNNNNNNNNNNNNNNNNNNNNNNNNNNNNNNNNNNNNNNNNNNNNNNNNNNNNNNNNNNNNNNNNNNNNNNNNNNNNNNNNNNNNNNNNNNNNNNNNNNNNNNNNNNNNNNNNNNNNNNNNNNNNNNNNNNNNNNNNNNNNNNNNNNNNNNNNNNNNNNNNNNNNNNNNNNNNNNNNNNNNNNNNNNNNNNNNNNNNNNNNNNNNNNNNNNNNNNNNNNNNNNNNNNNNNNNNNNNNNNNNNNNNNNNNNNNNNNNNNNNNNNNNNNNNNNNNNNNNNNNNNNNNNNNNNNNNNNNNNNNNNNNNNNNNNNNNNNNNNNNNNNNNNNNNNNNNNNNNNNNNNNNNNNNNNNNNNNNNNNNNNNNNNNNNNNNNNNNNNNNNNNNNNNNNNNNNNNNNNNNNNNNNNNNNNNNNNNNNNNNNNNNNNNNNNNNNNNNNNNNNNNNNNNNNNNNNNNNNNNNNNNNNNNNNNNNNNNNNNNNNNNNNNNNNNNNNNNNNNNNNNNNNNNNNNNNNNNNNNNNNNNNNNNNNNNNNNNNNNNNNNNNNNNNNNNNNNNNNNNNNNNNNNNNNNNNNNNNNNNNNNNNNNNNNNNNNNAAAAAAGAGAUAUAAAGAUAAAAAAAAGAAAAUAUAGAAAAAAAUAAGAAAGAAAAAAAAUAGAACGUGAUUAAGGAAAUAUGAAGAUAGAGGAACAUUGGUAAUAAAAACAAGCAGAUAGACAACCAAGUCGGAGGCAGACAGCCGACCAAAGAAAAAGAAAGAAGAAAAGAAAGAGAAGAAAAAAAAUAGGAGAGAGAAAAUUUGUUUAUCAGAAGUGUUCCAAGAACAAGAAACAAAGUUUUUUUAGUUUCUAGUUUUUGUUCCAAAAUUUGUUCCCGGGAGCAAAAAAUAGAUUUGGAACAAAAACGCAAACAAACACGUUUCUAUUCAUUUUUUAACUAGAGGGCCGUUUGAGGAACUAAAGAAUCGACCAAUCAGGAUGAGUUCGAAGAGAAUAGCCUGGUUGUCUUCGACGAACUCAAGCGAUGCAGGCUUGAGGUCGUCCUCAAUGGUGCUAUAGUCGGACUUGGUGGACUCGACGGGCUUCUUGCAAUACUUGAUUGACAUUGAAGUACGAUUGCAAUCAGGGUUUUGCGAUCGCAAUCUGAGGAACCACUGUCACCACCAGGAAUGCACACCAAUAGGAGAGACAAGGACACAUUGUGGUCGACAAGGAAGAUCACCCUUGGGAGCUUCAGCAGUGAUCCAUUCGAGGUCAACGAGGCUGUGGCCGAUGAGUCACAGACGAUCAAGCACAUAUGCUCCCCCUCUUUAUUCACAAUUGUGGCUGAUGUUUUAUCCCAUAGUCUCUCCAAUGUUCUAUAAGAGGGAUGCCUUUAGGGAAUUAAGCUAAAAAGGAGGAUCCUAAACCCCCCUUCUCCUCACAUAUGACUCCCUAUUCUUUCUUGUUGCUAACCCAGUUUGAACUGCAGACGUUCAAAAAAGAUUCUUGACCAUAUGGUACUGCUCAAGCCAGAGGGUCGUGUUGCAAAAAUCCUGUAUAUGCUUCAGUCCUAACACUGGGGCAAAGUUGAGAACAAAGGUAAGCACAGUCCAGGGAAUCAAUGCUACUCAAGACCCUGGUAACCAUUUGGGUCUACCUAUUCUAUGGGGUAGCUCUAAACAUAAAGCUCUUGACAUUGUUAAGGAUAGUCUUUGAAAAGAAUGCCAAGCUGGAAAACUAAAUUAUUGUCACAAGCUGGUUGGGAGAUUGAGGUAAAACCAGUGGCUUAUGCAGUACCAACUUAUUUUGUUGUCGUGUUUCAAGUUUCCAAAGAUGUGGCAUGAGGACGUUUAUGCAGCUAUAGCCGAUUAUUGGAGGGGUCCGCAGAAUAAUGAAGGGAAAGUGCAUUGGAAGAGUAGGGAAAGCUUAACUGAAGCAAAGUUAGAAUGAGGCUUGGGUUUUAGUAGUUUAUCACAGUUCAACAUAACCCUCCUUGCUGAGCUUGCUUGGAGAAUCCAAAGCAACCCCUCAGAAUUCUGGGUGCAAAUAUUUCAAGGGCUCUACUUUCCCCUUUGUAGCUUCGUGGAAGUUAGAAGAGGUGGCAGAACGUCUUAGGGACGAAGUAGAGUUUUGGAGGGAGAGGUCUAAUUAAGGAAGGUGGGUUAUGAUAAAUUGCUGAUGGGAAGUCGGUCAAAGUUUGGGAGGAUAGGUUGGUGAAGGAGAGUUGAGACCUGAUGUUGCAUCCUCUAAUCUGACCCAGGUGAAAAAGUAAUUAAGACUGGAGUCUCUAAUUGGUGCAGAUACUAGGAUUUGGAACUUGACUCUCCUUAAGGACAGCAUACGGUAGGAGGAGCAAUGAUCGGUGUUGAGAAAUCACAUAAGGUGGAGAAGUUCUGAUGACCAACGAUUUGGCCCCGGAACGGGAGUGGUGGCUCUAUAGUAAAGUCUCUACCACUUUACCAUGCAAAAUAGAAAGAAACAUCUAAGCCUAGACCCUCAAGCUCUCCUACUAUUGAUGGUAUAGUUUGGAAAUUAGUAACAGGCAUUGACUCUCCUCCCAUGAUAGGAGACUUCCAUUGGCAACUUUGCUCGAAUGUUAUGCCUGCUGCUGCUAAUCUGUGCAAACAAAAAGAAUAAAGUUUCUCCUGCUUGUAUGUUCUGUUUUGAGAUUAUAUCUAUAGAGCAUUUAAUACUCAAUUGCUUUAAUUUGAAAAUCCAAAAAACGAAGUGAUUCAUAUAGGUAUUUUUAAAUGAAAAGUCAACGCAACUCAUUUCAAAUACAAAAUGGUGUUUCUAUACAAAGUUGUCUCCAAGUAAAAUUUAGAAGAAGAGAAAUAUUUCUCAAAGAAGAGUGGAUGGUAAGCGAGAUGGAAACUUUCCUGAUUUUCACCUUGAAGAGUGAUAAUCCGAUCAUUGACACCUCUCCUUUAUGGAUUGGCUUGUUUUCUAAUUUGAAGGUGCUCAUUUUCAAUGCCAGUAGAUUUCAUGGAGCCAUGAAAGAGCCCGAAGCUCAUUGCCAAUUUCCUACAUAUCUUCAGUAGGUCAUAUAGUAACUCUCAAUAUUCAUAGCAAUUUCUCUAGACUUUUCUAUACAAGUCAACUUACCUUUAUCAACUUAGUGGUGAGAAUACACAAGAUUUUAUGUCUUGGACAUAUUGCAUCCGUUGUGAGUGUUAGAUAGGCUAUGGUAUUAUUGAAUUGAUUUGUGCCAUUUGAUACACAAGUUUUCACUUGAGGUCUUCUCAUUCAUUUAAGAAAAUAUGACAUCAAAUUCGAUAAAUUUUGACCCCUCAAACAAAAAAAUUGAUCUUGCACGGUAUUGCUUUUGCAAUUCUUCACAUUUAAAUAUUAAAGACAUUUAAAUUUUGGGUAUAAAGUAUUCGCAUCAAACAAAGCAUAGAUCAACAUUUCUUUAAGAUUGGCUUGAUGGAUAGUCUAAUAUGCGAAAUAUGAGUCCCAACUCCCUUGAGGUUCCAAAAUCAAGCCUGCGCGAGCCUAGCCCUAAGCUAAUCAAACUCGGCCUAAAUGGAAAGGCAACGCGGUCAUUCAAGGACAACAAGGGAAAUUCAAAUCGGCCAACACCCAUCGUCGAGGGAGGGGCAUGUAAAGGUCACUAGUUUGGGAACUUUAUAAGAGUAGCUGUUGUCAAGAGCCACCCUCUUCAAAGGAAACUCAUUUUGUGAGGAAUACUCGCACAUUUGAUGGACAAGGAUCAAUUGGCAGCUGAUUGUUGUUUCCAAAAUACUUGACCAGAAUUCCCUGAACAAUUUAGUAACUGCGUGAUACUGUUUAUCCUGACAUUUCUUCAUAAUAUUCAACCACCAAAUCCAAGUACCUAACAAUACUGCGGAAGAGGAAGACCAAGUUUUCUCAUUUUCACACCUACAACAACCAAAGAUAGUUACAAUUAAUUUUUCUUGCACCAGAUCAAAAUGCAAGCUUCGAAUUCCCCUCUUUUAAAUUUAGAUUGCCAAUGUUAAUUAUAUUCCAAGCGACAAACCUUCCACGUAUUGGGAUUACAUGUAUCGCACAUUCGCAUGUUCACAUUCAUGGAUAAUGACCGGUAUCUACUCAUUCAUUUCAAUUUAAAGCAAAAAAAAAAAAAACUAUAACUACAAAACAAUAGCAUAACCGCAUAUUUUACUAGAUCAACAAUAAUUAUUUAGAGUCAAUAAACAAAUCGAAUAGUUUGAUGUAUAUCGAAUAUUUACAUGGUGUUGUCAACAUUUAGAUUUCUUUAAACACCUUUAAGAAGCUAUACAAACCCAUACUGAGUCUCACUGUAAAACACAAGUUAUAGUAUAAUAAUUACAUUGAGAUUGAUUUUCUCUAUCACAUAAAUGGAUUUUAUACAAUAUUAAUCCAAAAAUUCGCAAUGCAGCGAAGCAAAGCAAAGAUGAUGGAAGACCGACUUGCUUUCCCUCGCCAGUCUUUUCCUUUUGACUUUUUCAUUUGAGUAGCUUUUGUCGGUCUUUGCCUUGUCUCUGUCUUUGGUUGGGAGAAAAGAAUGGGAAAAUGCAAGGAAGCAAGCAAAGGUGAUAGAAGACUUUGACUUGCUUUCCCUCACCUCACGCCGGGAAGUAGAUUGCCUAACAACCAUGACUUGAGAGGUGCGUGCGUCCCAAGUAAUUAAUUUAAAUAUGAGUAUUCAUCGCCUCCUCUCCUGACCUAUGCGAUAAGUAACUUUGAAUUAGAAAAGGUAAUUUUCUGCCUGUCUAUGGUUAGUAAAUCUCAAUGUUGAUAGUCAUAGUUCAUUCAACAAAGUAAGUUUAUAUACCAACUUUUAACAUAGAAAAAGGUAACACAAUUUCAUAUGGUUAGUAACUCAUUAAUCUGACUUGUAAUAUAUAUACAUAAUUAGUUUUUCUUAUAUACAUUGAUGUAACUUUCCCCACAUCUGUGUGUCAGUAACUUUUCACAAGAUUGCAGUGAAAUUUUUGGAGAUGCAAGUGACAUCCAGGCUAGAGUUGAUGACUUUGCACUAAAUUUUGUUUUAAUCCAUUCGUGAUAAAAGCAUCAAUAAUACUAAGAUCAUUAAUUUACUACUCUCCAUCCAAUCAUUUUAGUAUAUCUACAUCCAAGCAAACGGAAAUCUAUUUUCCACCUUUUAAAUGGAAACAAGUAAAGUUAUUAUCGAGAUUUAUAUUUACUGAAAUCGCUGGUCCUUGAACUUUUAUUUGAAUGUGUCCAUGUCAUAUCUAAUCAAACAAUCGAUUCAAUUACAUCCUAAAAUAUUUGUCUAAUGUGCGCCUUGAUCUUAUCUCUUAAUUGAUUCUUUUCCUGACCUUUUUAAAAAUAUUCAAUAUCGUCUCAUUUUAGUAAUUAGAAGGACAAAUCCGUACAAUGUCCCCUUCUAGUCUUUUGCUCGUCAAGAACAAAUGGUUUGUUCUUUACUUUCUACAAGCUUUAGCUACUAAUGUUGAGCCGGUUCCUAACACUUCCAACAUGUGAGAAAUGGUAGUUAGACAUUAUUUAGUAGGAUACAUUUUCAGUUCCGAGGAUGAAGUUUUGGAAAGCUACCGAGAGGAACAAUAUAUUAGCCCAUACACUUCUAUGCUUUCAUCCGACUUAUCUUCUGUAUAAAAAAGCAAUAAAGUAAUUAUACAAAAAUAGUAUAAUUAGUAACUCAUUUUAUAUAUAAAAAAAAAAAUGCAUCUACCUAUUGGUAACUAGUAAUUUUUCUAUGCAAUAAAUAAUUAUGGAAUAAAAAAAAAGUAAUUUUCUGCCGAUUGUUAGUAAGUCGUACUGUUCAAAGUAAUUUCUCUAGACUUUCCUAUACACAUCAACUUAUGUUCAUUAUCUUAUUGGACUACAUAAGAUUUUCUAUAGUGGACACUUUACAUUUGGUGUGAGUGUUAUGCCACUGUUAAACUAGAUUGUACCAAUAUUUUUUUUUUUGGUCAGAAGAUUGUACCAAUUGACACCUAAAUUUUUGUUAGAAGACUUCCAUUCUUUUAAUAAGAAAAUUGGAGAUUGAAUUCGACAGAGUUUGACCCCUAAACAAAAAUGUUGAUCUUGCCUGGUCAUGCAUUCAUAAUUCUCACUUCGUUCUUCGCAUUUAGAUAUCAGGGACAUUUAAAUUUUGGGCAUGAAGUAUUCACAUCGAGCAAAGCAUGAUUCAAUCUGUGAGUUUUCUUGGGAGUGGCCCAAUAGAUGGCUCCAUAUGCAAAAGUAAUUACUGAACUCACUCGAGGUGCCAAAAUUAAGUCCGCUUGAGUCCAGUAACUCCAGCCCCUAAGCUGUAAUCGAACUUGGCUGAAUGGAGGGAAAGGAAGCGCGGCCAUUCAAGGGCAGCUAGUGAAAUUACAAUUGGCCAAUACAAUUUUCGAGGCCAAUUCCAGUCUGAACAUAUAAGAUGGAAGGUCUUGUUCAGUUGCUGCAUGCGUCCAAAUGGAAGAAAAGGCAAAGGAGAAUCAAAAGAAGGAAAGGGGCGUGUAGUUUCCAUCUUGACGAUGGGAGCAAUCUCGGCAUUCACAGACCUGAAUUCACAGCCAAAAAAAAAAAACCAAGAAAAUCUUGGCAUAGGAAAGCAGAGGAUUCUCGGCCAAGUGGUGCAGCGAUUUUCAGCAUUUGAUCAUUUCCAAAGAUAGCUUGAAAAGGAAAAGGGUGGUGCUUUUUCUGCACGGCCAAGAAAGAGAAACACGAAGAGAGGGUUUCGGUCAACAGAAGAGAGAAUACUAAAAGGAAAGAAAGAACAAAGAAGUGGUCGGCAAAAGAAAAGAAAUAUAAGAACAGAGAGCAAAAGGUUUCCCGUUUAAUUUCCUCGAAAUUCACUUUUCCUCUGCACUUCAAUAUCCAAGAAUUUUACUCCUUACAGUCAAAUUUCUCCAUCAUUUCAUUUUAAAGCCCGGCGCACCUUGCACUUGGAAAAAGCCAAAAAUGAAAUCAUUUUAGCACUGUUUUGAAGUUGAUCAAUUCUUGUUCAAGUUAGAACUGUAGUGUGAUAACAUAUUUUAUCUAAAGAAGGGGCCUGUAAAGGUGACCGAUUUGGGAACUUUUUAAGAGUCAUUGUUGUCAAGAGCCACCCUCUUUAAAGGAAACUCAUUUUAUGAAGAAUACUUAGCACAUUUGAUGGACAGGGAUUACUUAGCAUCUAACUGUCGUUUCCAAAAUACUUUAUCAGAGUUUCCUGAACAAUUUCGUGACUGCGUGAUAUUGUUUAUCCAGACUCUUCUUCAUAACAUUCAACCAUCAAAUUCGUUAAAAACAACUGAUUGUUCUUUCCUAUUUCCAAGUUUUAGGUACUCUUGUUGAUAUAGUUCCCGACACUUCUAACAUAUGAGAGAAAUGGUUGUUAUAUAUAAUUUUGUAGGUCACAUUUUCAGUUCCAAGGAUCCAGCUUUGGACAGUUAUCUAGAGGAACAUUAUAUUGGUCCAUACUCUACUAUGCUUUCAUGCAUUUUAAUUUUUGGUAUAAAAAAGCAAUAAAAUAAUUAUACAAAAUUAGUAUGAUUAGUAACUCCUUUUACACUGAAAAAGCAUCUAUCUAUCAGUAACAAAUAAUUUUUCCAUCCGCGAAAUUAUGAUAAAAUAAGAAAAAAUAAUUUUCUGCCUAUCUAUUGUUAAUAAUUCUCAAUGUUCAUAGUAAUUUCCCUAGACCGAGCUCGUGCUAGCCCGGUCCCAAGCAAUUCAAACUCGGCCUAAUGAAGGGAAAGGAAGCGCGGCCAUUCAAGAACAGGGACGAAAGUCCAAAUCAGCCCUCACUAGGGGUGAGCAUGGUCCGGGUUGGUCCGGGCCACCCCCUAACCCUAGGACCAACCCGUACAGUGUCGGUCCUCAAUUUUUAGGACCAAGGACCGACCCUAUUGAGCCUGGGACCAAGGACCGGACCGACCCAAUGGGUUCGGUCCGGUUCCAGGGUCAAUCCGGGACCGAUCGAUAAUUUUUUUCGUCUUAUUUUUUAUACUUCCUAAAAAAGCAAACCUAAAAAUUCAAAUUACGCAUCCAUGAUCCAUCAACAAUACGAUAUUGUGCAACUAAAUUAUAAAAUACCAAUACAUAUUUAGCAAAUUUAAGAUGACACAAUAAUAGAAAUUUCAUAUCCGCUAACCGCUCAUCGAGAUAUGGGACAAGAUGGAAAGUUCUUGUAAUCAUCUAUCUUUAAUAUUUAUAACACCAUAUGCAAAAGCGUUUUCCUGAUCAUGUAGAGUUUACUCAACCAAAAAAUGAGCUUUGCACCACUUGACUAGCAUUUGAUCAUGUAGAGUUUACUCAACCAAAAAAUGAGCUUCACACCACUUGACUAACAAAUCACCGUAGCAACUGCAGUACUACUCUACUCUUCAAAAACUUCUACCAUUUAACACAAAUUGAAAAGCAAUUAAAUCAUAAAAUUUUUAAAAUACUUAAUAUAAACCAUGAAUAUAUAACUUCACAUCUUGUUAAUUCACUUGAACUUCUAAACACUUGAAAACAAAACAAACGACACAUAAUUAAUACUUAACAAAAGUUUUAAAUUGAAAUUACUAUUAGUGCUAUUGAUAGAACAUCUCAAUAUAAUAUAAUAUAAUAGACAUUUUACUUAGGUUUGAAUAUAUAAAAGAAUUAUAAAUAAUAUAAUAUAAUAUACAGGGUUGGUCCAGGGUUGGACCGACCAAAAACUCUUAGGACCGAGGACUAACCCGCACAGUGUUGGUCCUGGAAUUUCAGGACCAAGGACCGACCCAGUCCCCUUGGGAACCGGACCAGGACCGGCAGGGUUGGGCCGGUCCAGGGUCGGUCCAGGGUCGACCCUAAACCGCUGCUCACCCCUAGCCCUCACCCAUUCUCAAAGCCAAUUCCAAUCUGAACACAUAAGAUGGAAGGUCUUGUUCAGCUGCACACGUCGAAAUUGGAAAGGAGAAUCAAAGACGGAAGGGAGCGUGCAGUUUCCCUUUCGACGAAAGGAGCAAUCUCGGCAAUUAGGGACCGGAAUUCACGGCCAAAAGAAGAGGAUUCUCGGCCAAGUGGGGAGGGAGAUUUUUCAGCAAUUAAUAAUUGUCAAAGAGAGCUCGAAAAAGAAAAGGGUGGAGCUUUUCUUCGUGGCCAAGAAAGAGAAAUACAGAGAGAGGAAAACUUUAAUAAAAAGAAGAGAAAAACAGGGAAGUGGUCAGCAAGCGAGAGGACUAAAAAGAAGAGGAAAACAGGGAAGUGGUCGGCAAAAGAAAACAGAGAUUUUGAAAAACAGAGGACGCAGAUUCUUGUGGAGGAUAUGCAAGCAAGAUUGAAAAGACGGAGAGAGAGAGAGGGCUGUCGGGGCACGCGUGAGGAAGUGACAGAGAGCAAAUGGUGCAAUUUCACCAUAAGUCAGUUUAAUUUACUUUCGAGGCAUCUAAAUUUCCUAAAAGUUACACUUUUUCUUUGCACUUUAAUUUCCAAGAAUUUUACUCCUCAUAGUUAAAUUUCUCCACCAUUUCAUCUCAAAGCCUAGAGCACCUUUCACUUGGAAAAAGCCAAAAAUGAAAUCAUGUUUAGCAUUGUUUUGAAAUUGAAUAAUUAUUGCAAAGUGCAUUUGCCAUCAUCUAAAGAAAUACUUUUGUUAAGGGAAUUUUUCCCGAAUAAAAAUAUACAAUUUUCCUCUAUUCUGACUAAAGGGCGGGUAAGAGUGUUCAGCUCUAAAGACCUUCACUGUAUCUUAUCAUAAAAGGUUCCCACAUCCCUAUAAAGUAUGCGGAUUGAACUGUAAUUGUUUCAGAGUUUUUCAACUUAGCUUCACCGAGAGAGAGAUGUUAUGGUGGAGAAGAGAAAAAAAUUUCAAAUAAUAGUUGCAUCACGAGAUAGUAAAAUGUAGUAUAAUAAACUUAUUAAUAUUGAGUAUUUUCAAUUUUCAAGCGCCAAAUUAAAAGAACAUGUAUAUUGCAUUCGGGCCAAUUACUUCACAUAUGACUGACACAUAAAAUACAUUUCCUUAGUAAAAGGGUAAUUUGGUCUUUUAAUUGAGGAUUUUUCUCUAAAGAUGUACAUUCUACAUAUAUCAAAAGCUGAGGAGCGUACAUGAUAUGGGAGUACUUUUGAAAUUUUCUUUAAUAUGAUCAAAGUAAAUAAAAACUCAAAAACCAUCUUUAUGCUCUAUCUUGGUUUCACUUUAUAUCCUCCAUCUCUAAAGUCAUGAAUCUAUGAAUUUGUUCUGUCACUUUCGUUAGUUGUCAGGUUUCAGAUUUUAAAUUCGUCAUUAAAUGAAUGGGACCCGGAAGUUUCGAGGAUGCCAACCCAUUGAUUGAUUCAUGGAAACUUUUAGGAAACUUCUCGGAUACUUCUCGAAUGACUCAAGUUGUUGACUAUUUUUGACUCGAGAAAAAAUUUGAAGUCAAGUCCCUUUUCCCCACGCCAGAGACUGAUAGAGCUUGUAAUACCGACAACCCUCGCUUAGAUCCAAGCACACCCAAAGCAAACUACACUGAGAGGAAGAAAGCAUUUGAUAUCGCUCAGAUCCAAGCACACCCAAAGCAAACUUCACUAAGAGGAAGAAAGCAUUUGAUAUCCGUGGCAUUUAGAGAUCCUACAAUGGAGAAAGGGACGAGUUCACAGGUGUCAUCUAGAUCUUCAUAUGAGGUUUUUCUAAGUUUUCGAGGAUUAGAUACCCGUCAUACAUUCACCGAUUUUCUUUAUCGUGACAUGGAUGAAGCUGGAAUCUGCGUCUUUAGGGACAAUGAAUCCCUCCAUGUCGGUGAAAAAAUUGGUAAGCUUUUACAUGCAAUUGAGAACUCUAAGAUCUACAUUCCCAUAUUCUCCACAAAUUAUGCUUCGAGUGACUGGUGUCUUCGAGAGCUUGCACAUAUGGUCAAAUGCACCUCAAAAUUGAAUGGGAACAAAGAGAUUCUACCCAUUUUCUUGGAUGUGGAACCUUCUGAUGUCAAGUUGAAAACAAAAUUGUAUCGACAAGCUCUUUCAAAGCGCCAAAAGACGUGCAGUGAAGUAGAGUCAUGGGAAAAGGCUCUCAUUGAGGUGGGCAAGAUAAUCGGAUGGAACUGGAAGAAAGAUGAAAGGUGAAUGUCUACAAUUUUUUAAACUAUCAUAUGUGGAUUUCCUUUUCCUCCAUAUUGAGUUUAAUUGCAGUAUUGCUGGUGAAAAAAUAGUUUAUUCAACUUUAGUAUCUCAUUCUUUUCAUUUUUUCUCCCAAUUUCUAAAUUUCUUUUCUUUUUCAUGAUAAUUAAGGAUAAAAGAGAUUUUUUUUUCAAAUAUUGAGACAGAAUUAUAUCACGUAAAAAUCACAUGCCUUGCACAUGCCGACGACAAAAUUGAUACACAGUUAAUGGUCGUGUAACAAACUGAAAGUGCAGGAAAUAUUGCGAAACAGUUGAAGGUUCGGCUGUGUACUACCCGAAAUUUAAGAUGAUUUUGUGUAUUACCUCUGCUUUCUUUCAACCUCAUUUAUAUGGCAUUUGCAUUUUUUUUUAUCCUGGAUUUCAUAAGCAUUUAAGAAAAAUAUAGGAGUAUACAACCGUAUGGCCAUUCGGCAUUCGCGUAGCGCGAGUCUAAGGGGCCAGUUAAUUUUUAACGAAUAGAAGAAUGCAACUUCUCUUUGUUUUUUUUUUUAAACGUUUACUUAAAAGGUGAAAAGCUGUGUUCUUUCGUGAACCUAGCUGCUCUACCAAGCCGCUGGCCAGCCACCGCAGCAGCUCUCCCUCAACCGUCACUUCUUCCUUGCCAGCCCGACAACAAGCCGCCAUCGAGCCAUCCGGCCCCCCACCCUUUCUUUCUCUCAUUCACUGGGAAGUCGGAUAUGGGCUCGGGAUGUCGGGCCCGAUGUCACCGAGCCCAUAUUUGGCAUUGCCGACCUUGGGUGACCUCAAAUUUGGCGCCGCCAAAGGCCGGUAAAGCAUCCUUGGCGGUUGCAAGGCCACAGGAUCCAUGUGACUUGAAGGAUUGAGGCAAGGCCGAGAUGGGCGGGUCGAUGGGGCGGGAUGGGCAACCCCGUUGGAACACAAUGGUGACGACCUGGGGAGGUGAGCGACGUCAAUGGCGGUGUGGUGGUGGCAGCGGUCGACAGUGAUGGUGACUAAAAUUGGGGGAGCGGAGACGGAUUGGAAAAAAUCCAGAUUAUUUUGCCGUCUAGAUUAUGUUGCAUAAUUUUUGCAAAUUGUAGGAGCAAUUGAGUCCUUGAGGGAGCAGUUUUGCAAUAUAAAAUAUAUCCUAACAUGGUUGUUACCUUGUUGCAGCCAAGCGGAUCUGAUAAAACUUGUGACUGAAACUGUGUUGCGUAAGCUGAAUGUCGGAAAUAAAAAGAUUGUGACUGAAAAUCUAGUUGGAGUUGAUGAUCGUGUAGAAGCUAUAAUAAAAAAGUUGGAUGUGGGAUCGGAUAGCGUACAAUUUCUUGGAAUCCAUGGAAUGGGCGGGAUUGGCAAAACAACACUUGCCAAGGUCAUCUUCAACCAACUGUCUUCUCACUUCGAAUACUGCCAUUUCCUUUCGGAUGUCCGAGAAACGUCACGAUGCGAUGUCCGAGAGAUGUCACGAUGCAAUGGUCUGGUAAAUUUGCAAAAACAGUUGCUAUCCAAGUUCCUUGAUUCUCCUUCCAUCCUCAACCAAAUUCAUGACACGGAUCAUGGGGCCAUAAUGAUUGAGAAAGUAUUUCGCAAUAAAAAAGUACUCAUUGUUCUUGACGAUGUGGAUGAGGAAAAGCAACUCAAAAGUCUAGCAAAGAAAGUUGAUUGGUUCGGUUCCGGUAGUAGGAUUAUCAUAACUACUAGGUACCAAAGUGUCCUAAGCAUUCGAGUAGAAGCAACAGGUGAAGCCCCUACACAUAUUUUGGCUCAUGAAGUAUUCGAAAUGGAAUGUGAUCAUGCUCUUAAGCUUUUCAGCAAACAUGCCUUUAGAAGAGACUCUCCUCUAGAUCAUUAUAUCCCCCUUUCCCAAAAAAUUAUCCAUACUUUGGGAAAUCUUCCUUUAGCCCUUGAGAUUAUAGGCUCAUUUCUUAGUGGUAAAUCCAUAGAAAUAUGGGGAGACACAUUGAAUAAGCUAAAAGAAGCUCCUCCUAAGGAAGUCCAAGAAACAUUGAUGAUAACUUAUGAAAGGUUAGAUGAUGCCCAAAGGCAAGUAUUUUUGGAUAUAGCUUGUUUUUUCGCUAAUAAGAAAAAAACAUACCCUCCCUACAUGUGGGAUGCUUGUGUAUACUACCCACACAAUGCCCUUGAAGUCCUCUCUCUCAUGUUCUUGAUAAAAAUCAAGGAUGACAAUACUUUCUGGAUGCAUGACCAAGUGCGGGACCUCGGAAGGGAAAUCGUUCGUAAAGAGAAUGUUGAUGAUCCGCGUGAGCGUAGCAGAGUGCAUGAUCCUGAGGUAGCGCUAAACAUUUUGAAGCGGAAAGAGGUAUGAAAGGGGAACAUCAAUUUAUUUUCUUGUGAAAUGUUGUAAAUAUUCUUGUAAAAAGAAAAAUUAAUCGCUAUUAACAAUUUGAAUUGUUUGCUUUUGACCUUCACCAUGUGGACUCCUUUGUGUUUCCAUUGUCAGGGGAGUAGGAAAAUUAAAGCACUGUCACUUGGAUUUCUCGAAGACACUUUUCUAGAGUUUGGAGAACUUAGAGGAUUUGAAGCACCGCCAAUUAGAUUUCAUGAAGACAUAAUUUUAAAGCAUGACGAAUUUGCUUAUUUAGAGAAGCUGAGGUUCUUUGAAGGAUAUCGGGCGUCCUUUGUUGGAGACUUCAAUAAUCUUCUUUCCGAUUUAAAAUGGUUUUCUUGCCGUGAUUGCUUAUCCAUGUUGGAGGCAAAAAACUUUCAUCCGACUAAUUUAGUCGUUCUUGACCUUUCAUGGAGCGACAUUUCGGAAAAAGAUAUUGAUUGGAUCAAAGUACGAUACAAACCCCACUCCUUGUAUUCAUAAAUCGUUUCUUUUCAUUUUUUUUUUUUGGUUGGUGGUUUCUCAAUAAAUAUUUUAUCAAAUUGUUUUGCAGGAAGCAAGGAAAUUAAAAGUCCUAGAUCUCACCUACUGCACUAAAUUAAGGAGAACACCCGAUUUAUCUACAUUGGUGUCUUUGGAGAUUUUGAUAUUAUCAAAUUGUAUAAUUUUGGAAAGUGUCGAUUGGAUCAAAGUAUGAUACAAGUCUCACUCCUUGUAUCCAUAAAUCAUUUCUUUUUAUAUUUUUUAUAGGUCAUUUCUCAAUAAAUAUUAUUGUUUUGCAGGCAGCAAGGAAACUAAAAGUCCUAGAUCUUAGCUACUGCCAUCGCUUAAGUAAAACACUUGAUUUAUCUACAUUGGUGUCUUUGGAGAUUUUGAGAUUAAAUCAUUGUCAACUUUUGGAAAGUAUCGAUUGGAUCGAAGUACGAUACGAGUCUCACUCCUUGUAUUCAUAAAUCAUUUCUUUUUAUAUUUUUUUGUAGGUCAUUUCUCAAUAAAUAUUUUUGUUUUGCAGGCGGCAAGGAAACUAAAAGUCUUAGAUCUCAGCAAUUGCUAUAACUUAAGGAGAUUGCCCGAUUUAUCUACGUUGGUGUCUUUGGAGAUUUUGGGAUUACGUUAUUGUUCAAAGAUAAAGAAACUUCCAGACUCAAUUGGGAAAUUACAAUCAUUAAUCAAGUUGGAUUUGUUAGGAACGAAUAUUGAUCACCUACCGGAUUCAUUCAGCAAUCUAAAGCAACUGACAACACUUAAGAUGAGGGAUAUUAAGGGAGGGUUGACAAAAUUACCUAGUGCGAUCUGGAUGGUUCAGUUACUGGCUUAUGGUACUGAGUUCAUCAGAAGUGAGCUGUACUGUUUGAAAAUGCCAGACUCAUGUAGCCAAAUAAUCGGAUUACCUACCUUGGCGAGUCUCGUCUCUAAUAUCCAUAAACUUGAGAUAGCCGCACGGGAUGGCAGACGGUUUUGGGAUACAACGUGGGGCCCCCUUGGUAAGCUGGAGAAUGUCAUUGCUUUUCUCUAUAGACUCGGUUGUACCGAAUCUUCGCCGGAAAAACGAAUAUUGGCCUCCCCAAACAUGCGGUUCUUCCUCCAGCUCCCGUCUAGUUUAAGAGAGUCAGUAUUUCGAGAACUGGCGACCUCACUUUUGCCAUAUUCAUAUUCUCUUUGUUGGUGGAUGCCGAUAUUCGUUGGUAUAUGUGAUUCGGAGUUGGAGAAACGCCAUUUGCAGGAUUGCACUCUUACGAGACGGCUCGAACUGUUUGAGUGGAAUAUGAGAGAAAAAAUGAAAGAAAUGGAAGACCGUGAUUGUAGUUCUUAAUUGUGUCAAAUGUACAAGUAUGCAGUUGUAUUCACGAUGGAGUCCAUCGCCGCCACUGCUGCAACCAAACCCUUCUUCUCCGAUCUCUCCCCUCGCCUCCGCCGCGCGACCGCCAUGUCGCAGCCGCAUUCGAUUCCCCCAAACGCCCCCGAAUCUCCGACCACAUACCCCGCGCCGCUCUCUCCUCCGUUGCCGCCCUUAUCGAAGCAGGUGGAGCUGGCCAGAGCCAUGUCCGCUUCCUCCAGAUCGGGCGCCUUCUCUCUCUCCCGGAGCCACGUGGUCUACGAGGACGAGUGGCCCCUUGCCGUCAACAAGCCCCCCGGAGUUUACUGCGAGAGCGUCCUGGCCUCGGCCCCUCGCGUCGUCCCCGGCGAUUCCGGCGAUUCGGGUAGGUUACCGAUGGGGCGAUUUGCGUCCCGUCUCGUAUCUGUGCAGAUUGAUAAUUUUGCUGCUUUUUUGUUUAGCUUCACGCUGUGGUUGAAAUUGUACUUAACCUGCCUGUUCUUGGAUUUCAAAUGCGAGUUACGCGAAAUCCAUUUGCGGGAAUGUGUAGUUGGGAAAUCCGUAGUGCGAAAUUGAAGUUCGAUUCUAUGCUUUAGUUUAGGAAAAGGAAAUGCGAAGCUGGAAAAUUUGCGAUCUUUUUAUUUCGGUUCAGUUUGAUGGCAAAAAAGCAGUUCAUAUGAUUUCUUGUGCUUUAUUUGGGAAGAUAGUAGCAAUGUGUUUCCUUAGGCUUAAUUCUGCUACAAUUUGAUGUGGAUGUUUUGAAAUGGGAUUAGAGAAUCCUACUCCGAAGGGUUAAAAUUGUUGCUGUUUCGGGUGUGGUGAUGCUUGAGUGAAUUUUCAGCUCUAGAUCAUAGUGAUGUCGCUUGUCCUAUGUUUAUUAGCUUUAGUAGAAGGCUAGAUUUGAAUCCAGUUUGUGGGUUUAGCUUAUUUUUAUUCAGUUCCGGCCAAUCUUGAAGAGAUAAUUUGAGCAGAUUUGAGGCUGAUUCGAUCCGUGUAUAUCUCAUUUUAAGGAUGUUCUUGUCAUAGAAAAUGAUCACUCCUUGAAACCUGUCUGACUGUGCAGCUUAGCUUUGUUAAUCUAAGUUCUUUGAAAUGGUUAUCGUUGUAUGAUAUGUGCUCAACCUACUUAAUUGAUAAAUGUGGUUAAGAUGGAGUCAAAUUUAUCUUUAUUUCUCAUGGUUUGAAUACUUAGGAUGCACCUACAUUGUCAAUACUAGAACAAGUUUUGUCAGAAUUCCUGGCAAUUGCAUCGUGAAUUCAAUCAAAUGAGUGAACAGAAUCCAACAUUGACAGCUUACUGUUUUCUGCUGUUAGGGUGCACUGAAGCUGUGCCUGAGCUCCACCUUGCUAAUCGACUUGACAUAAGGUGAGAAAAACAUACAUAGCUCUCUGUGUUGGAUUAGCACCGAAGUGGGAAACUAUAACCAUUCGAUCAGGCCAUGGUCGGUCAAAGUUUGGAGGGUCUAUGCAGCACCAGAUGUGGGACGGACACUGCCAGGUGGGUCUUUGGUCAGGGACAUGGAAACAUCAUUUGAGGUAUUGUCUGUAAAUGGUCAAUUGAAGUCCAAGCAACCAGUUAAGCAGGGAAAAGAUGAUGACAAUAUCGUGGUAGUUGAAGAGAAAUCUUCUAUCAAGGAUAAUGGAACGAAAGAUGUAGUUUUGGUGAGAGCAUAUCCUCGGAGUGUUAGGACGCAUCAAAUCCGCUUGCAUUGCCAGUAUCUUGGGAUUCCCAUAAGAGGUGAUGUGAAGUACGAGGGUGUGUAUGAGUGGGAAGGGCAAAUAAAUGACUACCACACUCUUCAUGCCGAGAGCUUGUCCUUUGAGCACCCAGUAACCGGUGUGCACCUGAUGUUUCGAGCACCUUUACCUGCGUGGGUUGCUGAGUGCUGCCCUAAUGAGAUCCCACCUGCUUUUUCUUCAAAUGAAAAUCAUGCUAGAUGAGGCUAUAAACGCUUCAUUGGAGGCUGAUGAAUUUGCUAAUUUAGAAAAGCUGAGGCUCUUUCUAGGCAAUUGUGUGUCCUUUAUUGGAGACUUCAAUAAUCUUCUGUCCGAUUUAAGAAUGCUUUCUUUUUAUGAAAGGAGAUGGGCUUUUACAUAUGGUGGUCCUUCCAUGUUUCAAGCAAAAAACUUUCAUCCAACUAAUUUAGUCGUUCUUCACAUUUCAAGUAGCAGCAUUACGGAAGAAAGUAUUGAUUUGAUCAAAGUACGAUACGAGUCCCACUCCUUGUAUUAAUAAAUCAUUUCUUUUCAUUUUUUCUUGCAGUUCGUUUCUCAAUGGAUAUUUUAUCAAAUUGUUUUGCAGGCGGCAAGGAAACUAAAAGUCCUAGAUCUCAACCGUUGCAUAAACUUAAGGAGAACACCUGAUUUAUCUACGUUGGUGUCUUUGGAGAUUUUGGGAAUAACACAUUGUAUGAAAUUGGAAAGUAUCGAUUGGAUCAAAGUAUGAUACGAGUCUCACUCCUUGUAUCCAUAAAUCAUUUCUUUUUAUAUUUUUUUAUAGGUCAUUUCUCAAUAAAUAUUAUUGUUUUGCAGGCGGCAAGGAAACUAAAAGUCUUAGAUCUUAGCCGCUGCAAUUACUUAAGGAGAGUGCCCGGUUUAUCUACGUUGGUGUCUUUGGAGAUUUUGAGAUUACGUAAUUGUUGGAGGAUAAAGAAACUUCUAGACUCGAUUGGGAAAUUACAAUCAUUAAUCGAGUUGAAUUUGCUAGAAACAAAUAUUGAUCACCUACCAGAUUCAUUCAGCAAUCUAAAGCAACUGACAACACUUAGGAUGAGGGACAUUAAGGGAGGGUUGACAAAAUUACCUAGUGCGAUCUGGUUUGUUCAGUUUGUGGCUCAUCGGGAUGAGUUCAUCACAAGUGAGCUGUACUGUUUGAAAAUGCCAGACUUGUCAUGGACCUAAAUAAUCGGAUUACCUACCGUGGCGAGUCUCGUCUCUAAUAUCCAUAAAAUUGAGAUAGCCGCACGGGAUAGCAGACGGUUUUGGGAUCCAACGUGGGACCCCCUUGGUGAGCUGGAGAAUGUCUUUGCUUUUCCCUAUGGAUCCAGUCAUACCC